rnacentral:lncRNA from 1 species
AUGGAAUCCAGGGUAGUUCUGUGCGUUCUUUGCAAAGCAUCCGUUCUAAUCGUUUGCAAGGAUCUGGCGGUAGUAUCGUGUCUGUGUUUGGUCCACCUAUCGUAAGUGUCUGCUCAAUGCUCACUAUGAUGGUGUAAGAAUCAUCCAUCUUUAUGGUAUGGUCUCGUAUCUUAUUUGCUACUGGUGAUUCCUGUGCUAUCAUUCUGAUGUUAUUAUGAAUGCCUUUUAAAACGAGUAUAGUGAUCAGUACAAGAGCUCCCCUGCUUUCCUUUUUCACUACUCCUAGAUUUGAUCAACAGAUAGACAGAUUGUGUAUGGAUGAAGCUCAGAAAGAUCUUGCUUCGUUUCCACCUGAGCAACUCAUGAAAACUAAUUCAAUCUUGAAAAAACAAGCAGCGAGCGUCUACACCAGGGCUGCUUCUGAAAUAUUCCAAACGGAGUUGAUUGAGUCGCUGUUUUUUUUUUUGAGAGUACGCCAAUAACGUACCAUAUCUUUAUAGAAGACAGAGUUAAUAUUUACAAGAGCCUAGUGUAGAUGGGAACAUCUGCGAAGGCACACCCACUCCACACAAAAAACAAGAUCACUCUCGCUGUUAAGGUUCAGGACAUCCCUUGUGAAGCCAAGUACUAUGUCAAAAGAGGUGGUGAUCCUCCUACCAGGCACACUGUUGCCUGCAAUGUUGCCGAGAAGAAGGCUUUGGUGUGACUGCUGCAGGUUUGCUUUCUCGGCGAUAUUAUGCAGACAUGUGCUGGGAGUAUUCAUCUUAGCUCACAUCGACAAGCAAUGGACGAAGAAGGCAAAUGCAGGGCCAGUGUUUGUUAGACACAUCCUUGAAGAUGAAAACCGGCACGCAGAUUCUGUGACUUGGAGGUCCAAUGAUCUCGUUGGUGGUGACCCGGUGAGGCGUGGAGAGAAGGGAGCUCUAUCAGCAGGCUCCUUCAAAUUUGCAGAAGAAGCUAGUACCGCACUAAGCCUAUAGAGAAAUAGAUAAACUGACCAAGGCUAGUGCCGGACAAGGCUGUCGCGGCCCACCGGGGCUCUACUGCUGCUGGAGGGACGGCGACAGCGGUGCGGCCGGGCAAGGUGGCCAGUGGACACGCGUAUGAGGUGGCCGUCUGGUAUAAACUAUAGCUUUUUUUGGUUUGUAGUUAAACGACCGGAAUAUCGGUCAUAUAUGUAAAUCCGACGGGUUUACUUACACUUGUCUGGUUAUUUUAAACCUUGUUUGAAAUAUAUAUGGAUAGCUUUGAAUGACCGGCUCCCACAUCAGUGUUCGCGGACUAGUACUCUCUAUCCGUGAACAACGGAUGCGAUGUCCGGUUUACAGGUCAGUGUGGAGAUGCCCUUAGGCUGCAGUGCAAUUGUGCAAAGAACAAAUCGACUGAAACCUGUUUGUGUGAGUCGACUGACCCAAAAAUUAAAACCAGUCAACUUGCACGUAUUGAUCCCAUACUAGCAUUACUCCUAGUAUAUUUUAGGGCUCGGCCUAGCUACCUCUCACCGCGUCUCAAGGGGCCAAGAAGAAGAAGAAACUUUCAAAGCAGCCCUCACCCCACGCAUGCAUAUGUGCCAUUCUUAGCUUGCUCUUAAUUAAUCUGAACCUCUUCUUCUUGCUACCACCGCGAGAAAGCAGCUGAGGCGCUCCCUUUCUCCUUUAAAUUUGGACCUUAAUUUCCAGCUCCUGCGUCCCAUUCUCCAAACGCCCAGCACCUCAUACUCUUCGUUGCUUUCCUAACUUUGGUUCACUCUCGGGAGAAGCUAAUUAACCAUCACCUCAUACUCCGCCGAUGCCUCCUUCGCCUCUUGCCGUCCGCGAAGAACCAUGAACUACACCGGGAGCGCCCUCUCCCUCCUCGUCCCCAAAGCCACCAAGGACAUGUCCCGCCUGCACCAAGGCUACGACCGUGGCUAGCUCCGGCUAGCUACUAGUACUUGCAGUAUACCUUUUCUGUUUAGAUCCUUCCCCGUUGUCAGUUGAUAGUUUCUCACACCGAUCAGCCAUGAAGGAGGUGGGUCAGAAGAAGAACAUCCUGGCCAAGACGCUCCAGAAGUGCCGGUCGUUGGGCCACCGGAGGCAGCCGGCAGCCUACGGCGGUGGCGGCAGCGCCAGUGCCCCGGCGUCGCCACGCGCGGCCGAUGGCAGGGCGGCGGCGUGGGCCGUGCCGGCGGGGUACUUCGCCGUGCUCGUGGGGCCGGAGAAGGAGCGGUUCGCGGUGCGCGCCAGGUGCGCGAACCACCCCCUGUUCCGGGCGCUGCUGGACGAGGCCGAGACGGAGUACGGCUUCGCCGGCUGCGCCGGCCCGCUCGAGCUGCCCUGCGCCGUCGAUGAUUUCAUGGAGGUGAUGUGGGAGAUGGAGCAGGGGGGCGGCGUCGCGUCGUCGCCCAGCUGCGCUCGCUUCGCCGGCAGGGGCCACCACCAACAACAACAGCGCCACGGGUACCACAUGUUGAGUCCGGGCACGUUCCGGUUCCUCGUCGCCGGCCGAUCGUGAUCACCAUGCACGUGCUUGCUCUUCGCCAACGACGGUCUAAGUCCAUCGUUGUAAUCUUCCUUUUCUUCCUCUUUUUCUUUACGUGUAGGUUGUUGAUGUCGAAUGCAUGUAGAAGUUAAUUCUUCAUCGCCUGUUUGAUGGACUGCUAGCUUAGGGUGUUGAUGUGAUAAUUUCAUAAGUUGCCAACGUUUCUUGGUCCAUCAGUUAGUGUGCAUUUCGCGUGUUCUUCAUGUGAAUAUAUGUAUAUGGUGCUCAUUGUAAAUGUAAACUAUGGACAGAAGAUGCUUCCUUUUGUUUUUGUAGAAGGACAAGUUAUGGCCUGUGCAAUCUCGAUGUAUUGAUUGGUGCACCAGGCACAUAUAUAUAAGUACAGAGGUGGGCCACAACCUCAACUAUACAAAGGAAACAGGAGGUGGGNNNNNNNNNNNNNNNNNNNNNNNNNNNNNNNNNNNNNNNNNNNNNNNNNNNNNNNNNNNNNNNNNNNNNNNNNNNNNNNNNNNNNNNNNNNNNNNNNNNNNNNNNNNNNNNNNNNNNNNNNNNNNNNNNNNNNNNNNNNNNNNNNNNNNNNNNNNNNNNNNNNNNNNNNNNNNNNNNNNNNNNNNNNNNNNNNNNNNNNNNNNNNNNNNNNNNNNNNNNNNNNNNNNNNNNNNNNNNNNGGAACUCCUCGAAGGUAGAAGUCGGCAGUCCCUUCGUCAUCACAUCGGUGAACUGUUGGGCAGUCGGCACAUGGAGAACCCGAAUACGUCCAAGAGCCACCUGCUCGCGCACAAAGUGAAUGUCCAGUUCAAUGUGUUUAGUCCGGCGAUGAUGAACGGGGUUGGCGAAGAAGUACACCGCAGAAACGUUGUCACAGUAGACAACCGUAGCCUGGGAGACGUCAUGAUGCAGCUCCUGAAGUAACUGUCGUAGCCAGGUGCACUCGCAACAGCGUUGGCCACAGUUCGGUACUCAGCCUCCGCGCUGGAGCGCGAAACCGUGGGUUGUCGCUUGGACGACCACGAGACGAAUGAAGGACCGAGGUAGACGCAGUAGCCGGAGGUGGACCGACGAGUAUUGGGGCAACCAGCCCAGUCUGCAUCGGAGUAGGCCACCAUCUCCAGAUAAGUAGACGCCGUGAGUGUCAAUCCAAGGGUCAUCGUGCCGCGGAUGUAACGAAGGAUCCGCUUCACGAGAGUCCAAUGGGAGUCACGAGGGGCGUGCAUGUGGAGACACACCUGCUGAACAGUAUACUGAAGAUCCGGUCUGGUGAGAGUCAAGUACUGAAGAGCGCCGACGAUAGACCGGUAGAAAGGAGCAUCCGACGCAGGCGAGCCCUCAAGAGCAGAAACCUUGGCCUUCGUGUCAACAGGAGUAGCAAUAGGGUGACAAUUGAGCAUGCCAGCACGCUCAAGAAGCUCAUGUGCAUACUUCUGCUGAUGAAGAAAGAAACCAUCCGGGCGCCGAACGACCUUAAUGCCAAGGAAAUAAUGUAGAGCACCCAAGUCCUUAAUGGCAAACUCGUCACGCAGCCGGAGAGUAAUCUGCUGAAGAAGAGCUGCGGAGGAGGCCGUCAAGAUGAUGUCAUCGACAUAAAGAAGCAAGUACGCAGUCGUGUCACCGUGGCGAUAAACAAACAAUGAGGCGUCCGAGCGAGUAACGCUGAAGCCCAGUGUCUGAAGAAACCCGGCGAUCCGCUGGUACCAGGCGCGGGGUGCUUGCUUGAGCUCGUAAAGAGAGCGGGACAACAGACACACAUGUCUAGGAAGUGAGGCAUCGACAAAACCGGUGGGUUGCUCACAAUACACCUGCUCCUCAAGAUGGCCGUGGAGAAAGGCGUUGGAGACAUCCAUCUGGUGAACGGGCCAGCCGCGGGAGACGGUGAAGGAAAUAUGCCCUAGAGGCAAUAAUAAAGUUAUUAUUUAUUUCCUUAUAUCAUGAUAAAUGUUUAUUAUUCAUGCUAGAAUUGUAUUAACCGGAAACAUAAUACAUGUGUGAAUACAUAGACAAAUAGAGUGUCACUAGUAUGCCUCUACUUGACUAGCUCGUUAAUCGAAGAUGGUUAUGUUUCCUAACCAUGAACAAAAGAGAUGUUAUUUGAUUAGCGGGAUCACAUCAUUAGAAGAAUGAUGUGAUUGACAUGACCCAUUCCAUUAGCUUAGCACCCGAUCGUUUAGUAUAUUGCUAUUGCUUUCUUCAUGACUUAUACAUGUUCCUAUGACUAUGAGAUUAUGCAACUCCCGUUUGCCGGAGGAACACUUUAUGUGCUACCAAACGUCACAACAUAACUGGGUGAUUAUAAAGGAGCUCUACAGGUGUCUCCAAAGGUACAUGUUGGGUUGACGUAUUUCGAGAUUAGGAUUUGUCACUCCGAUUAUCGGAGAGGUAUCUCUGGGCCCUCUCGGUAAUGCACAUCACUUAACCCUUGCAAGCAUUGCAACUAAUGAGUUAGUUGCGGGAUGAUGUAUUACAGAAUGAGUAAAGAGACUUGCCAGUAACGAGAUUGAACUAGGUAUUGAGAUACCGACGAUCGAGUCUCGGGCAAGUAACAUACCGAUGCAAAGGGAACAACAUAUGUUGUUAUGCGGUCUGACCGAUAAAGAUCUUCGUAGAAUAUGUAGGAGCCAAUAUGAGGAUCCAGGUUCCGCUAUUGGUUAUUGACCGGAGACGUGUCUCGGUCAUGUCUACAUUGUUCUCGAACCCGUAGGGUCCGCACGCUUAAGGUUUCGAUGAUAGUUAUAUUAUGAGUUUUGAUGUACCGAAGUUAGUUCGGAGUCCCGGAUGUGAUCACGGACAUGACGAGGAGUCUCGAAAUGGUCGAGACAUAAAGAUUGAUAUAUUGGAUGGCUAUAUUCGGACACCGAAAGUGUUCUGGGUGAUUUCGGAGAAAAUCGGAGAGCCGGAGGGUUACCGGAACCCCCCCGGGAGAAGUAAUGGGCCAUAUGGGCCUUAGUGGAGAGAGAGAGGGGCUGCCAGAGGUGGGCUGCGCGCCUCCUCCCCCUGGUCCGAAUUGGACUAGGAGAGGGGGGCGGCGCCCCCCCUUUUCCCUCUCCCUCCCCACUUCUUUCCCCCUCCUAGUAGGAGACCUACUCCUACUAGGAGGAGGACUCCUCCUUGGCGCGCCAUAGAGGGCCGGCCGGCCUCCUCCCCUGGAUCCUUUAUAUACGGGGGUAGAGGGCACCCCUAGACACACAAGUUGAUCCACGUGAUCAUAUUCUUAGCCGUGUGCGGUACCCCCUUCCACCAUAGUCCUCGAUAAUAUUGUAGCGGUGCUUAGGUGAAGCCCUGCGACGGUAGUACAUCAAGAUCGUCACCACGCCGUCGUGCUGACGGAACUCUUCCCCGACACUUUGCUGGAUCGGAGUCCGGGGAUCGUCAUCGAGCUGAACGUGUGCUAGAACUCGGAGGUGCCGUGGAGACGUACGACUACAUCAACCAAACGCUUUCGUUGUCGAUCUACAAGGGUACGUAGAUCACACUCUCCCCUCUCGUUGCUAUGCAUCACCAUGAUCUUGCGUGUGCGUAGGAAUUUUUUUGAAAUUACUAUGUUCCCCAACAGACGGCGAGCUGGAGGACGAUGCGGAUCGUGCCCGGUUUUACAACCGGGGCAAACGUCUCAGUGAAGUCCACUCCAGCACGCUGGCGGAAACCACGGACCACCCAGCAAGCCUUGUAGCGCUCGAGAGUAUCGUCCGAGCGGGUCUUGUGGCGAAAGACCCACUUGCCGGUGAUGACGUUGGCGCGAGAAGGCCGGGGAACCAGUGUCCAGGUGCGGUUCCGUUGAAGAGCAUCAAACUCCUCCUGCAUCGCCGCAAGCCAGUGAGGAUCACGUAGGGCGGCGCAAGCGGACGCUGGAAGAGGCGACGGCUCCGCGAUGGAGGCUGAGAGGACAUACUCGUCGCUCGAGUACCGGAGGCUCGGAUGAUGAACGUCGGUACGAGCCCGUGUAACGGGGCCAGGCGGCGCCGUCGGAGCCAUCGGCGAGGCAGCCGGAGAGGCGGCCGACGAGGCGGCCGGCGUCGGAGCCGGCGAGGAGGCCGACGUCAGGGCCGGCGAGGCCGGCUGCGUCAGAGCCGGCGUCAGGACCGGCGAGGUGGCCGGCGUCGUGGCGGCCGAGCCAGCGGCGCCCGACCCCGCGGCGCCCGAGUCGGGGGCGGCGGGUGAAGGAGGGGCGCCAGCCGCGCCGGCAGGGUCGGUCGAGGAGGCCGAGGGAGCGGGUGCCGGUGUGAGGGUGCGAGGACCGCCAAAGCCCGGAGGCGGUCCACGGGCCAAACGAGACCGUCCACCUGACGAGGUCGUCGAAGGGCUGCCGGUGGCCGGCGGUGACGAAGCGACAAGAGGUACCUGCUGCUGAAACAGAAACACCAUCUCAUCAAAGUAAACGUGUCGGGAGGUGAAAACACGAUGGGAGACGGGAUCAUAGCAGCGGUAGCCCUUAGUGUUAGGUAGGUAGCCGAGAAAGAUGCGGGCGACGGAGCGGGGUGCAAGCUUAUGAGGCGCAGUAGCGGCGAUGCUAGGGUAGCAAAGGGCAGCCGAAGAUGCGAAGCCCAUCAUAAGAGGGGGGUGCACCAAGUAGAAGAUGAUGAGGUGUAAAGUUUCCGCGAGUACGACAUGGGCGGAUGUUGAUGAGGAGAGAAGCGGUGGCGAGAGCGUCAGGCCAAAAGCGUGGAGGCACGUUGGCAUGAAAGAGAAGAGUCCUAACGCAGUCAUUGAGAGUGCGAAGGAUGCGCUCAGCGCGACCGUUCUGCUGCGAGGUGUACGGGCAAGUGAGAUGAAAAAUCGUGCCAUGUGUGGUGAGAAGAUGACGAACAACGAGGUUGUCAAACUCCUUCCCGUUGUCUGUCUGUAACGCGAGAAUGGGACGACUAAACUGCGUGAGAACAUAGGAGUAGAAGGCGGCGAGUGUGGAUAUAACAUCUGACUUGCGACACAAUGGGAAGGUCCACACAUAAUGCGAAAAAUCAUCAAGUAUGACAAGAUAAUAAAGAAAGACCGUAUUACUUGCAACAGGAGAGGUCCAAACAUCACUAUGAAUUAACUCAAACGGGUACGAUGCAACAAAAGAAGAAGCCCUAAACGGAAGACGAGCAUGUUUGCCGAGGCGGCAUGCAUGACACGAGUGAUCCUCGUUCUUAUUACACGUGAAAGAAAAACUCCAAAGUAUGUGGCAAAGGGUGGUAGGAUUAGGAUGACCCAAGCGAGCAUGCCAAAGGUCCACUCCGGUGGCGAGGGCGACAGGGGCGGCGGAAGUGGUGGAGGUGGCGGAGUGAACCGGGUAGAGCUCGUCGGGGCUGUCACAUCGAUGGAGCACCAUCCGCGUGCGAGCAUCCUUAACAGAAAAGCCAUAUUUGUCAAAUUCAACGGUAACCGGAUUUUCACGUGUAAGAGAACGAACGGAAACAAGAUUUUUAAUAAGUUCAGGAGAAACUAGAAUAUUAGACAUGGAUAUUGGAGUGGAUUUAGACGGAAAAUAUGUAUGACCAAUAUGGGUGAUAGGAAGAGAAGAUCCGUCACCGACGGUGAUGCGGUUGGAAGUGUGGACAGGAUGGGCGGCGUGGAGGUUACCGGGGUACGCCGCCAUGUGAGCGGUGGUGCCACUGUCCAUGUACCAAUCGCCGCCGCCGGUGUAGCUGGACGGGGAAGGAGUGUUGUGGAGAGCCGCCAGAAGAGCCGGGUCCCACGGUGCCGGCGGGAGAGGCGGCGCGGCCGUCAGGGGCAGCAGCGGCGGCCCACUUGCCAGCGGCUGCUGGCCGUAGGGCGCCGCGUAGGGCGGCGACGCGGUGUAGAACGCCUGGUGUGGCUGUGGCCGGGCGCCGAGAAGUCCCGGGGCAGGGGCCCGAGGAAUCGGCAUGGAGUAGGCGUGCACAACGCCGAUCCACGGGUUCUGGCCGGCGUACCACGGGGCCGGCUGAUAAGCCUGUUGCGGUGGGCGGGGUGCUCCUCCCUGAGCGCCGGCGCCCCCCUGCUUACGGCCACCACGAUGGCCGCCGCGACGACCCCCCCCAUUGGCCGCCGGCUGGGGCGGCGGGAAGGGGGCGGCCGGGGCGGGCGGGAAGCCUGGCGGGAAGGCGGGCGCCGCCGGCUGUGGCGGCGUCAGGCGCGGCGGUGGNNNNNNNNNNUCGCGCGAGUCUGCGCCACCCGCAUCCGGCGCUCCUUCAACUUGAGGUACGCGACCACCUUAGCAAAGGUGGGCUUCGGGAUGAGGGUGAGGUUGGAGGCGGCGUUCCCGAAGUCCUCGUUGAGGCCGCCGGAGAGGGUGCUGAUGAGGAGCUCGUCACCGAUCUUUUCCCCGAGAUCACGGAGCUCGUCGGCGAGCUUCUUGAGGCGCAUGCAAAAAUCAUCGAUGAAGGAGUCAAGUUGCUGGCACCCGUAAAACUCAUCGUAGAGCAGGACCUUGCGCUGCAGCCGGUUGUCGGUGAAGAGGCCGUUGAGCUUGCUCCAGACCGCAUAGGCGUCGUCCUCGUCAUCCACCACGGUGUGGAAGAGGUCGCUGGAGAUGGUGAGGUAGAACCAGCGGAUGAUGGUGGCGUCGAGGAUCAUCCACUCCUCGUCGUUGAUCAUGAGUGCCGAGUCCACGGUGCUAUCCACGUGGCCGUGUAGGAGGUACUCACGGAACACAAGCAAAAAAUACCGCUUCCAGGCGAAGGAGGACGCGGUGGUGUGAUCAAGCUUGACUGGAACGCGCUCAUGGAUGUUGAGGUCGCGGACGAGGGUGACAUCGGGACCGGCAAACGGGUUGGAUACGGUGGACGAGGAGGAGCUCAUGGCGAGGGUUAGGGUUUGGGACUCGGCGCGAGCGGAUGGAGGCGGGGUGGUGCGGGUUGCGGUGCGACUGGGAGGUGCGGCGGCGCAAGGGGCAGGGAAGGGUGCGGCGCGGGUGGGAGGAAGGGGUGCGGGCGUGGGCGGAAGCGGAGCAAGCGGCGGCGCGGCCUUGGGGAGAGGCGGCGGCAACGGCGGGCUCGGUGGCGGGGAGAGGCGGCGGCGACCAGCGGCGGCGGCGGCAACCGGGAGGGUGGUAGCGGUGGCUGGUGGCGGCGGCGGGGAGUAGCGGCGACGGCAGCGGCGGCUUUAGGGUUUAGGAUCGUGCUGCGAUAGAUACCAUGUAGAAGGACAAGUUAUGGGCUGUGCAAUCUCGAUGUAUUGAUCGGUGCAUCAGACACGUAUAUAUAAGUACAAAGAUGGACCACAAUCUCAACUAUACAAAAGAAACAGAAGGUGAGCCUUACACACAAAUAUACACGUACACAAUAUACUCAACAGUUAUGGACGAAGUGGAGACGAGAUCCACCUAAGAGCACUAUCCGGAACAAUGAUCAAAGUCUUUUGCCGGGCAACGGUUUUGUGAACCUGCUAUAGGCUAAGGUCUAAACUAUUCUCCCAAGUCCAAAACGAUCCAACUCUUUGAGUCACUUGCGCCCACAAGCAGCACUAGAAAAAACAUUCAUCGACAACUCAAAGCGCGACGCCAAGGCUAAUCUAAGCGCCAUUUAAGAAAAAGGGUUAAUCUAAACGCAAGUUGAUUACUACCUGAUGACCAGAUAACCACCCCUCGUGGCAACUGAGCUGAGCUUCGUCAGGCUCGGAUUUUUCUGACCUGCCACUUGCAGUCCAGCAUGUGUCGUGAUCCCGAACCUGUGAUGUCAACACACACAAUUAUUGUCAUUAUAGUAAAACUACACAAUAUAGAAAUAUGAACAUGACAUAGGCUACCGUCCCAAAAUAGAGAAAUAUCAUCAUCUCACCACUAGCAAACCAUAUCGUCACAUAUGGAAAGGAAAUUUGACAAAGCUUCCAUAAAAUGAGAAAUAAAUCAUAUUCUUAUUUUCUCGCACACACUUCUUUUAGAAAAGGAGGAUCACCCCUGGCCUUUGCAUCAGAGUGAUGCAUGCAGCCCCACUCUCGCACACACUUAGGGGGGUCUCUCAUGAUCAAUAGUUGUUGCAUGGCUUGUCUUAUUGAUUACAUCCUUUGCCAUGCUCUAACCAUACUGUCAUCAAUACACCUAAAAUGGGUAGAUUGAAAGUGCAUCUGACACUUAAUUAUAUUUUGAUGUGAUGACAAUAUGAUCAGUAGAACUAAUAACCGAUUCUAAAGUUUACCUCGGGUUAUUGAUUCCCUGGAAGUUUCAUGUGGAGAUGAUUGCCCCGCCCCCACCCCAUAUUUUGAAAAGAUCAAAGGCGUGGUUUUCCGACGGCUCGAUGGUUUUCGUUUUGGUUCGAUUUGAUUUGUAGGACAACCGCACUAUUAAGAGGGGUCAUUGUGGAUUGGUUUUGUGUUCGUACAUUCUAAAACAUAUACACCAAUCUUCUUACACCUACCACUUUAAAUUACCUUGUUUGUGCUUUUGUGGAGGUAUCCGUGGAGAUGAAAUAGAAAGUUUUUGGACACCAUGUGUGUUCGGAAACGUAGUAGAAAAAAAAUCGCACCUACGAUCACCCAAGAUCAAUAUGAGGAUGCAUAACGGGUUGGGAUCACGACCGUUACCGUCACCGAGUUGUAGCGGAAAAAGAACGUGUCGGUGUAGAUCGUAUUUGGAGUCCCUCGAACCGUCGAUGAACGAUCCCUCGUACCGCCCACGAACAGUCCCUUGAACUGAAGACCGAAAGCACGACCUCUCUACUUGGUUGCAAGCAUGCAACCUUCAUGAUCCGGCAGCGCUUCGCCGUCCAGAGCUAAUCGUCGCUAGAGAAUUAGAGGGAGGAGAUUAGAACCACACUGGGCUUCUAAUUAUGAGGACAAGAGGAUUUGCCACACUCUAAUUAGUCAACUAGGACCAACUAAAGCAUGAACGAGAAGAACUAGAGGAGGCUCCAAAACUUAUGUGUUCAAUUGUGGCCAAUACCUCAAGUAUAUAUAGGUUAGAGGGGGAGAGGAGGGCUGGCAACAAAUAAGGGAAGGCCUCCUUGGGGCGCCAUCCAAAGGGGGAGUUGGACUCCUCCCCUACUAGGAUCCCCCCCACAAGGAAAGGGGGGUGGGCUCAUCCACUUGGGCCUUCCUGGCCCAAGUUGCCUUCCACCUCUUGGCCUUUUAAAAUAUAAAAUGUUCUAAAUAUUUCUAGACCAUUAUAUAAAAUGUUCUAAAUAUUAUGCAACUCUGGGAUACCGGAGGAAUACCUUGUGUGCUAUCAAUUAUCACAACAUAACUGGGUGAUCAUAAAGAUGCUCUACAGGUAUCUCCGAAGGUGUUUGUUGGGUUGGCAUACAUCCAGAUUAGGAUUUGUCACUCCGAGUUUCAGAGAGGUAUCUCCGAGCCCUGUCGGUAAUACACAUCAUAAGCUUGCAAGAAAAUGACUAACACUGGUACAACGAGGUGCUAUACAAACGGUUUUUAACCCCUUUCCGCGACGGCGUUCGGAACCGUCACCUAGUGAGUGACUUCGAUAGGGGGAUCCUUCCUACAUGACCCAGAAACCGUCGGGGAUAUGCCCUUCUGGCACACACGCUCGACAAAAUGAGGUUGUGUGCGACCGGCGAGCGACCAAAUAUGGUUAUACGUACAGUAGUGCUAAAAAUACAAUUAUACAGACGAAUUCGUUUCCGGUCGUAAGUACAUCACACACAGUCAGUCCCUGCUAAACACUUCCGUUCGUAUAUAUAUCCCACACAGUCACUCCAAGGAAAAUGAUGCACAAGGUGGCGUAACGCAAACAGUUUUUAAGAGAAUGUCGUGUGUGAUUGUUCAUUGAUUCAACAUGGUUUAUUCCUAGAAACUGUGUGCGUUGCCUGAGGUCAUCGCCCACGGUGUUUUCUCAAUAACCGUUUGCAAUAGGAAAACCCAAUUAGCAGGCUAAUUGGCCAAUUAGCAGGCUAAUUGCCCUAUUAUUAAUAAUCCAUUUAUUAAUCUAAUUGACAUUCAUAUUAAGCACAUAAUAUAUUUCAUUUCCAUAUUAAGGAAGCAGGACUUCAUAGUUGAAAUACAUCCGAGUACAAACAUGAUAUAACUUCUUGCACUCAGCUACCCCAUUACACAACUGCACCAACAUCAAGUUUCACAUGCAACAUCUAGAACCUUUCGAAAUUAGCAUCAUAGACGGUACAUAGACAAAUGCAUCUCAUCUGGAAAACUGCUGAAGUGGGAAGGCAAAUAUUGAGCCUUCAUUCAUGUUGAAGGUCUUUACAACUUUAGGCCAGUGCCUGUGGAUGAUUGACCGUCCAUCCUUCGUCCUCUUUAGGAACACUUCAAUAUUGAACCGUGGGUGUUGUAUGAAAACUUUUCUCGCCUCCUGAUCAUAGAGGUGGUUUGAGAGGUAAUCAUCAGUGAACUGCUUUGGAAAGGCCUGAAAACAAGGAUGUGCAUAAAUAUCUUCUCUAUAUUGGAAAUGGGGCAGAGGAAUAAAAAAGGCAAAAUAUAAUAGUUAGUACCAUCUUGUAAACCUCAAUGCUUCCCAUUGUUUCCCUGCAACACAUAUAAGGUAGUUAGUCAUCAAGUUAAGUAAGGGCUCACAUGCUAUCAGUAAAAUAUGUUGAUAAAAAAUAAGCACAUUGCAGAUUCAUCAGACUAAUUCAAGCCACAUGGAAAACCAUUUAUCCGUAUCAAGCAUGAUUAAGAACUAGAAAAUAUAGCACUUGUAUAUGUUUCUCUUGUAUUAAGUGCAGCCAAAUUCGAUCUAUUCCUCACAUGGUAUACAAUAACAGAAUUCAACCACAACAAUUGAACAUCACAUUACAGAAUUGAACCAAACAGUUAACUAAACACCACAACAAAUGAACCAAACGUUAACUGAGCACCACAUUGCACAAUAUAGCAUACUCCUAAUAGAAGAUUAGACAGUUAACCAAACCAAGCAUGCUUAACAACUUGGAAAUAUAGCAAUUGUAUUUGUUUCUCAUGUAUUUAGUACAACCAAAUUCGAUUUAUUUCUCACAUGGUAUAUAAUAACAGAAUGUAGCCACAACAAUUGAACAUCACAUUGCAGAAUUGAACCAAGCAGUUAACUAAACACCACAACAAAUGAACCAAACAUUAAUUGAGCACCACAUUGCACAAUAUAACAUACUCCUAAUAGAAGAUCAGACAGUUAAUCAAACCAAGCAUGCUUAACAACUUGGAAAUAUAGCAAUUGUAUUUGUUUCUCAUGUAUUUAGUACAACCAAAUUUGAUUUAUUUCUCACAUGGUAUACAAUAACAAGAAUGCACCCACAACAAUUGAACAUCACAUUAUAGAAUUGAACCAAAUAGUUAACUAAACACCACAACAAAUGAACCAAACAUUAACUGAGCACCACACUGCACAAUAUAACAUACUCCUAAUAGAAGAUCAGACAAUUAACCAAACCAAGCAUGCUUGACAACUUAGAAAAUUGCACCCUGAAGAAUUGAACAUCACAUUUGCAGAAUUGAACCAAACAGUUAACACCACAUUGCACGACAUAUAGAACAUAUACACUAGAGCAGAAGAUUGCAUGGUGAAAUUAGAUAGCACAAUUCACUAUAAUUUGUUAAGGAAAGGCAGUAGCUAGCAAACUGAACAUGGAUCCUUAUAGCGACCUAAUAAGACAAGCUACUCCUCAUUGUCGGAUAUAUUGUUGGGGAACGUAGUAAUUUCAAAAAAAUUUCCUACGCACACACAGGAUCAUGGUGAUGCAUAUCAACGAGAGGGAAGAGUGUUGUCCACGUACCCUCGUAGACCGAAAGGGGAAGCGUUAGCACAACGCGGUUGAUGUAGUCGUACGUCUUCACGAUCCGACUAUCAAGUACCGAACGUACGGCACCUCCGAGUUCAGCACAUGUUCAGCUCGAUGAUGUCCCAUGAACUCCGAUCCAGUAGAGCUUCAAGGGAGAGUUCCGUCAGCACGACGGUGUAAUGACGGUGAUGAUGAUGCUACCGACGCAGGGCUUCGCCUAAGCACCGCUACGAUAUGAUCGAGGUGGAUUAUGGUGGAGGGGGGCACCGCACACGGCUGGGAGAGAUCAACAGACCAACUUGUGUGUCUAGAGGUGCCCCCUGCCCCCGUAUAUGAAGGAGGGAGGGAGAGGCCGGCCCUAAAGGGGGCGCACCAAGUGUGGGGAGUCCUACUAGGACUCCCAAGUCCUAGUAGGAUUCCCCUUUCCUUUCCGGAGUAGGAGAGAAGGAAAGAGGGGGAGAGGGAAAAGGAAAAGGGGGCUACACCCCUUGUCCAAUUCGGACCAGAGGGGGGGGGGCUCCUUCCUUUUGGCCUCUCUCCUCUAUUCCCGUAUGGCCCAAUAAGGCCCAAUACUUCUCCCAGUGAAUUCCCAUAACUCCCCGGUGCUCCGAAAAUACCCGAAUCACUCGGAACCUUUCCGAUGUCCGAAUAUAGUCGUCCAAUAUAUCAAUCUUUACGUCUCGACCAUUUAGAGACUCCUCGUCAUGUCCCCGAUCUCAUUCGGGACUCCGAACUACCUUCGCUACAUCAAAUCACAUAAACUCAUAAUACAAUCAUCACCGAAACUUUAAGCGUGCGGACCCUACGAGUUCGAGAACUAUGUAGACAUGACCGAGACACGUCUCCGGCCAAUAACCAAUAGCGGAACCAUGAUGCUCAUAUUGGCUCCCACAUAUUCUACGAAGAUCUUUAUCGGUCAAACGCAUAACAACAUACAUUGUUCCCUUUGUCAUCGGUAUGUUACUUGCCCGAGAUUCGAUCGUCGGUAUCUCAAUACCUAGUUCAGUCUCGUUACUGGCAAGUAUCUUUACUCGUUUCGUAAUACAUCAUCCCGUAACUAACUCAUUAGUUACAAUGCUUGCAAGGCUUAUAGUGAUGUGCAUUAUUGAGUGGGCCCAGAGAUACCCCUCCGACAAUCGGAGUGACAAAUCCUAAUCUCGAAAUACGCCAACCCAACAAGUACCUUUGGAGACACCUAUAGAGCACAUUUAUAAUCACCCAGUUACGUUGUGAUGUUUGGUAGCACACAAAGUGUUUCUCUGGUAAACGGGAGUUGCAUAAUCUCAUAGUCAUAGGAACAUAUAUAAGUCAUGAAGAAAGCAAUAGCAACAUACUAAACGAUCAAGUGCUAAGCUAACGGAAUGGGUCAAGUCAAUCACAUCAUUCUCCUAAUGAUGUGAUCCCGUUAAUCAAAUGAAAACUCAUGUCCAUGGCUAGGAAACUCAACCAUCUUCGAUUAACGAGCUAGUCAAGUAGAGGCAUACUAGUGACACUCUGUUUGUCUAUGUAUUCACACAUGUAUUAUGUUUCCGGUUAAUACAAUUCUAGCAUGAAUAAUAAACAUUUAUCAUGAAAUAAGGAAAUAAAUAAUAACUUUAUUAUUGCCUCUAGGGCAUAUUUCCUUCAGUCUCCCACUUGCACUAGAGUUAAUAAUCUAGUUCACAUCGCCAUGUGAUUUAACACCAAUAGUUCACAUCACCAUGUGAUUAACACCCAUAGUUCACAUCACCAUGUGAUUAACACCCAUAGUUCACAUCGUCAUGUGACCAACACCCAAAGAGUUUACUAGAGUCAAUAAUCUAGUUCACAUCGCUAUGUGAUUAACACCCAAAGAGUACUAAGGUGUGAUCAUGUUUUGCUUGUGAGAGAAGUUUAGUCUACGGGUCUGCCACAUUCAGAUUCGUAUGUAUUUUGCAAAUUUCUAUGUCAACAAUGCUCUGCACGGAGCUACUCUAGCUAAUUGCUCCCACUUUCAAUAUGUAUCUAGAUCAAGACUUAGAGUCAUCCAUAUCGGUGUUAAAGCUUGAAUCGACGUAACUCUUUACGACGAACCUUUUCUCACCUCCAUAAUCGAGAAACAUAUCCUUAUUCCACUAAGGAUAAUUUUGACCGCUGUCCAGUGAUCUACUCCUAGAUCACUAUUGUACCCCCUUGCCAAAAACAGUGUAGGGUAUACAAUAGAUCUGGUACACAGCAUGACAUACUUUAUAGAACCUAUGGCUGAGGCAUAGGGAAUGACUUUCAUUCUCUUUCUAUCUUCUUCCAUGCUCGGGCUUUGAGUCUUACUCAAUUUCACACCUUGUAACAUGGGAAAGAACUCUUUCUUUGACUGUUCCAUUUUGAACUACUUCAUAAUCUUGUUAAGGUAUGUACUCAUUGAAAAAACUUAUCAAGCGUCUUGAUCUAUCUCUAUAGAUCUUGAUGCUCAAUAUGUAAGCAGCUUCACCGAGGUUUUUCUUUGAAAAACUCCUUUCAAACACUCCUUUAUGCUUUGCAGAAUAAUUCUACAUUAUUUCCGAUCAACAAUAUGUCACUCACAUAUACUUAUCAGAAAUGUUGUAGUGCUCCCACUCACUUUCUUGUAAAUACAGGCUUCACCGCAAGUCUGUAUAAAACUAUAUGCUUUGAUCAACUUAUCAAAGCAUAUAUUCCAACUCCGAGAUGCUUGCACGAGUCCAUAGAUGGAUCGCUGGAGCUUGCAUAUUUUGUUAGCACCUUUAGGAUUGACAAAACCUUCUGGUUGCAUCAUAUACAACUCUUUCUUUAAUAAAUCCUUUAAGGAAUGCAGUUUUGUUUAUCCAUUUGCCAGAUUUCAUAAAAUGCGGCAAUUUGCUAACAUGAUUCGGACAGACUUUAAGCAUCGAUACGAGUGAGAAAAUCUCAUCGUAGUCAACACCUUGAACUUUGUCAAAAAUCUUUUUCGACAAGUCUAGCUUUGUAGAUAGUAACACUACUAUCAGCGUCCGUCUUCCUCUUGAAGAUCCAUUUAUUUUCUAUGGCUUGCCGAUCAUUGGGCAACUCAACCAAAUUCCAUACUUUGUUCUCAUACAUGGAUCCCAUCUCAGAUUUCAUGGCCUCAAACCAUUUCACGGAAUCUGGGCUCAUCAUCGCUUCCUCAUAGUUCGUAGGUUCGUCAUGGUCAAGUAACAUGACCUCCAGAGCAGGAUUACCGUACCACUCUGGUGUGGAUCUCACUCUGGUUGUCCUACGAGGUUUAGUAGUAACUUGAUCUGAAGUUACAUGAUCAUCAUCAUUAGCUUCCUCACUAAUUGGUGUAGGAGUCACAAGAACAGAUUUAUGUGAUGAACUACUUUCCAAUAAGGGAGUAGGUAUAGUUACCUUAUCAAGUUCUACUUUCCUCCCACUCACUUCUUUCGAGAGAAACUUCUUCUCGAGAAAGGAUCCAUUUUUAGCAACGAAUAUCUUGCCUUCGGAUCUAUGAUAGAAGGUGUACCCAAUAGUAACUUUUGGGUAUCCUAUGAAGACGCAUUUUUCCGAUUUGGGUUUGAGCUUAUCAAGAUGAAACUUUUUCACAUAAGCAUCGCAACCCCAAACUUUAAGAAACGGGAACUUUGGUUUCUUGUCAAACCACAGUUCAUAUGGUGUCAUCUCAACGGAUUUAGAUGGUGCCCUAUUUAACGUGAAUGCACCUGUCUCUAAUACAUAACCCCAAAAUGAUAGUGGUAAAUUGGUAAGAGACAUCAUAGAUUGCACCAUAUCUAAUAAAGUACGGUUACGAUGUUCGGACACACCAUUACGUUGUGUUGUUCCGGGUGGCGUGAGUUGCGAAACUAUUCCGCAUUGUUUCAAAUGAAGACCAAAACUCGCAAAUCAAAUAUUCUCCUCCACGAUCAGAUCGUAGAAACUUUAUUUUCUUGUUACGAUAAUUUUUCACUUCACUCUGAAAUUCUUUGAACUUUUCAAAUGUUUCAGACUUAUGUUUCUUCAAGUAGAUAUACCCAUAUCUGCUCAAAUCAUCUGUGAAGGUCAGAAAAUAACGAUACCUGCCGCGAGCCUCAACACUCAUCGGACCUCAUACAUCAGUAUGUAUUAUAUCCAAUAAGUCAGUUGCUCACUCCAUUUCUCCGAAGAACGGAAUCUUAGUCAUCUUUACCCAUGAGGCAUGGUUCGCAAGCAUCUACUGAUUCAUUAAUCAAGUGAUUCCAAAAGCCCAUCAGCAUGGAUUUUCUUCAUGCGCUUUACACCAAUAUGACCUAAACGGCAGUGCCACAAAUAAGUUGCACUAUCAUUAUUAACUUUGCAUCUUUUGGCUUCAAUAUUAUGUAUAUAUAUAUCACUACGAUCGAGAUCCAACAAACCAUUUUAUUGGGUGUAUAACCAUAGAAGGUUUUAUUCAUGUAAAUAGAAUAACAAUUAUUCUCUAACUUAAAUGAAUAACCGUAUUGCAAUAAACAUGAUCAAAUCAUAUUCUUGCUCAACGCAAACACCAAAUAACAUUUAUUUAUGUUCAACACUAAUCCCGAAAGUAUAUGGAGUGUGCGAUGAUGAUCAUCUCAUUCUUGGGACUACUUCCAACACACAUCGUCACUUCACCCUUAACUAGUCUCUGUUCAUUCUGCAACUCCUGUUUCAAGUUACUACUCUUAGCAACUGAACUAGUAUCAAAUACCGAGGGGCUUCUAUAAACACUAGUAAAGUACACAUCAAUAACAUGUAUAUCCAAUAUACCUUUGUUCACCUCGCCAUCCUUCUUAUCCGCCAAAUACUUGGGGCAGUUUCGCUUCUAGUGACCAGUCCCUUUGCAGUAGAAGCACGCAGUCUCAGGCUUAGGUCCAGACUUGGGCUUCUUCACUUGAGCAGCAACUUUCUUGUCGUUCGUCUUGAAGUCCCCCUUCUUCCCUUUGCCCUUUUUUUGAAACUAGUGGUCUUUGUCAACCAUCAACACUUGAUGCUUUUCUUGAUUUCUAGCUUCGUCGAUUUCAGCAUCACGAAGAGCUUGGGAAUUACUUUUUUCAUCCCUUGCAUAUUAUAGUUCAUCACUAAGUUCUAGUAACUCGGUGAUAGUGACUAGAGAACUUUGUCAAUUACUCUCUUAUCUGGAAGAUUAACUCCCACUUGAUUCAAGCAAUUGUAGUACUCAGGCAAUCUGAGCACAUGCUCACUGGUUGAGCUAUUCUCCUCCAUCUUGUAGGCAAAGUACUGUCAGAGGUCUCAUACCUUUCGACAAGGGCAUGACUAUGAAAUACAAAUUUCAACUCUUGGAACAUCUUAUAUGCUCCAUGGCGUUCAAAACAUCUUUGUAUCCCCGAUUCUAAGCCGUUAAGCAUAGUGCACUAAACUAUCAAGUAGUCAUCAUAUUGAGCUAGCCAAACGUUCAUAACGUCUGCAUCUGCUCCUGCAAUAGGUAUGUCACCUAGCAGUGCAUCAAGGACAUAAUUCUUCUAUGCAGCAAUGAGGAUAAUCCUCAGAUCAUGGAUCCAAUCCGCAUCAUUGCUACUAACAUUUUUCAACAUAGUUUUUCUCUAGGAACACAAUAAACAGGGAGCAACAUCGCGAGCUAUUGAUCUACAACAUAGAUAUGCUAAUACUACCAGGACUAAGUUCAUGAUAAAUUAAAUUUCAUUUAAUCAUAUUACUUAAUAACUCUCACUUAGAUAGACAUCCCUCUAAUCAUCUAAGUGAUCACGUGAUCCAAAUCAACUAAACCAUGUCCAAUCAUCAUGUGAGAUGGAGUAGUUUUCAAUGGUGAACAUCACUAUGUUGAUCAUAUCUUCUAUAUGAUUCAUGCUUGACCUUUCGGUCUCAGUGUUCCGAGGCCAUAUCUGCAUUUGCUACUCGUCAAGUUUAACAUGAGUAUUCCGCGUGUGCAACUGUUUUGCACCCGUUGUAUUUGAACGUAGAGCCUAUCACACCCGAUCAUCACGUGGUGUCUCAGCACGAAGAACUUUCGCAACGGUGCAUACUCAGGGAGAACACUUAUACCUUGAAAUUUAGUGAGAGAUCAUCUUAUAAAGCUACCGUCAAACUAAGCAAGAUUAGAUGUAUAAAAGAUAAACAUCACAUGCAAUCAUAAUAUGUGACAUGAUAUGGCCAUCAUCAUCUUGUGCCUUUGAUCUCCAUCUCCAAAGCAUCCUCAUGAUCUCCAUCGUCAUCGGUAUGACACCAUGAUCUCCAUCAUCUUGAUCUAUAUCAAUGUGUCGUCACAUGGUCGUCUCACCAACUAUUGCUCUUGCAACUAUUGCUAUCGCAUAGCGAUAAAGUAAAGCAAUUAUUUGGCGCUUGCAUCUUAUGCAAUAGAAAGACAACCAUAAGGCUUUUGCCAGUUGCCGAUAACUUCAACAAAACAUGAUCAUCUCAUACAACAACUUAUAUCUCAUCACGUCUUGACCAUAUCACAUCACAACAUGCCCUGCAAAAACAAGUUAGACGUCCUCUACUUUGUUGUUGCAAGUUUUACGUGGCUGCUACGGGAUGAGCAAAAACCGUUCUUACCUACACAUCAAAACCACAACGAUAGUUCAUCAAGUUAGUGCUAUUUUAACCUUCUCAAGGAUCGGGCAUAGCCACACUCGGUUCAACUAAAGUUGGAGAAACUGACACCCGCCAGCCACCUGUGUGCAAAGCACGUCGGUAGAACCAGUCUCGCGUAAGCGUACGCGUAAUGUCGGUCCAGGCUGCUUCAUCCAACAAUACCGCCGAACCAAAGUAUGACAUGCUGGUAAGCAGUAUGACUUGUAUCGCCCACAACUCACUUGUGUUCUACUCGUGCAUAUAACAUCUAUGCAUAAAACCAGGCUCUGAUACCACUGUUGGGGAACGUAGUAAUUUCAAAAAAAUUCCAACGCACACACAGGAUCAUGGUGAUGCAUAGCAACGAGAGGGAAGAGUGUUGUCCACGUACCCUCGUAGACCGAAAGUGAAAGCAUUAGCACAACGCGGUUGAUGUAGUCGUACGUCUUCACGAUCCGAUCGAUCAAGUACCGAACGUAUGACACCUCCGAGUUCAGCACACGUUCAGCUCGAUGACGUCCCACAAACUCCGAUCCAGCAGAGCUUCGAGGAAGAGUUUCGUCAGCACGACGACGUGAUGACGGUGAUGAUAAUACUACUGACACAGGGCUUCGCCUAAGCACCACUACAAUAUGAUCGAGGUGGAUUAUGGUGGAGGGGGGCACUGCACACGGCUGGGAGAGAUCAACAGAUCAACUUGUGUGUCUAGAGGUGCCCCCCUUCCCCCGUAUAUAAAGGAGGAAGGGAGAGGCCGGCCCUAGAGGGGGCGCGCCAAGUGUGGGGAGUCCUACUAGGACUCCCAAGUCCUAGUAGGAUUCCCCUUUCCUUCUCGGAGUAGGAGAGAAGGAAAGAGGGGGAGAGGGAAGAGGAAAAGGGGGCUGCACCCCUUGUCCAAUUCGGACCAGAGGGGGGGGGGCGCCUCCUUCCUUUUGGCCUCUCUCCUCUAUUCCCGUAUGGUCCAAUAAGGCCCAAUACUUCUCCCGGUGCGUAACUCCCCGGUGCUCCGAGAAUACCCGAAUCACUCGGAACCUUUCCGAUGUCCGAAUAUAGUCGUCCAAUAUAUCGAUCUUUACGUCUCGACCAUUUCGAGACUCCUCAUCAUGUCCCCGAUCUCAUCCGGGACUCCGAACUACCUUAGGUACAUCAAAUCGCAUAAACUCAUGAUACAUUCGUCACCGAAACUUUAAGCAUGCGGACCCUAUGGGUUCGAGAACUAUGUAGACAUGACCAAGACACGUCUCCGGCCAAUAACCAAUAGCGGAACCUGGAUGCUCAUAUUGGCUCCCACAUAUUCUACGAAGAUCUUUAUCGGUCAAACCGCAUAACAACAUACAUUGUUCCCUUUGUCAUCGGUAUGUUACUUGCCCGAGAUUCGAUCAUCGGUAUCUCAAUACCUAGUUCAAUUUCGUUACUGGCAAGUCUCUUUACUCGUUCCGUAAUACAUCACCCCGUAACUAACUCAUUAGUUACAAUGCUUGCAAGGCUUAUAGUGAUGUGCAUUACCGAGUGGGCCCAGAGAUACCUCUCCGACAAUCGGAGUGACAAAUCCUAAUCUCGAAAUACGCCAACUCAACAAGUACCUUUGGAAACACCUGUAGAGCACCUUUAUAAUCACCUAGUUACGUUGUGACGUUUGGUAGCACACAAAGUGUUCCUCCGGUAAACGGGAGUUGCAUAAUCUCAUAGUCAUAGGAACAUGUAUAAGUCAUGAAGAAAGCAAUAGCAACAUACUAAACGAUCAAGUGCUAAGCUAACGGAAUGGGUCAAGUCAAUCACAUCAUUCUCUUAAUGAUGUGAUCCCGUUAAUCAAAUGACAACUCAUCCAUGGCUAGGAAACUCAACCAUCUUCGAUUAACGAGCUAGUCAAGUAGAGGCAUACUAGUGACACUGUUUGUCUAUGUAUUCACACAUGUAUUAUGUUUCCGGUUAAUACAAUUCUAGCAUGAAUAAUAAACAUUUAUCAUGAAAUAAGGAAAUAAAUAAUAACUUUAUUAUUGCCUCUAGGGUAUAUUUCCUUCAGAUAUCGAUGAUGAUUGGCUCCUUGGACAUGGAAGAGGGCGAGGCCUCCGCAUCGUGGGUGCCCUCGUUGUAGUGGUGAGUUGCCUGAGCCGCUCCAGGCACCAACCUGCUGGCUCUCGAGAUUAGGUAAGCACGUGAACGCUGAGAAAACACCUCGUAGUCUUGGUCGAAGGCACCGACAGUGGCCUCGAGAAAACGCCUCGAACUGUCAUUUAAAGCAGCCAACCGCGUCACGGUGUUAGCGCGCGAGGUGUCGACGGUGGCCUCGAUGGCGAGGUGCUCCUCCAAGAUCCGGGGGUCAGCAUAAAUGGCAGCCAUCGCGACCUCAUCCGCACAUGCGGCCGCGAUUUGCUUCUCCGCUACCAAUUGCUCCUUGAGAUACUGGCUAUACUGCGUGACUAUGGCUUAGGGCGGCGCUUAUUUGGUGGAGGGGUCGGUGAUUUGGGUGGAAGGUGUCACGCUUGCACUGGUGGUCGGGGCAUGUGGGAUGUGGAAGGAGGAGCAGGAUGGGCGUCGGGUGUGGAUACCUGCCUGGAUAGACGAGGCCGAGCAGUGUGAAGGAGGGUCGCCGGCAUGGAGGCAACGUUGCAAGCAAGGAGUGAAGGUUUCAACUUGGAAAGGAAGGCGGAAACAGGGGAAAUGUGGCUUUUGGUAAGGGGGAGGGGCGGGGAGGUAGAUAUUUCCGCGAAAGACGAACAUUUGGAAUCGCUUCAGUGAAAAAACUGGCGUGCAAAGUGUCAUCAGACAUGGUCCCUUAUUCGGAGCGGGUUGUGGACUAUAGCCGUCGCACCUUCUCGUGUAAGCCGUAUGCGUACUAUACUUCGAUGGUGCUCCAAGAUAUUUUGUGCCGCAUCUCACAUGGUUGGUUAUAAUAAACUAUGUGGGAUCUACUUGAUUUUUCUUCUUGAUUUGAAUUACAUAAUGGGGUCAUAGCGGCAAUAGACGGUGUUUGAAUUGCUAGACCUUUUAUCUACAGUGAACAUGCAACUAUAUGUGUGUCGUAAAAGAAUUGGAAUUAUUCAGGGUUCGUUAGGACAUUUUAUACAUAAAUUGGUUUUCUAGCCAUUUCAGGUGCACAAUUCAAAAUUAAACUACAUCCACAUGCUCCGGUGCACCAACAUGGUUGUAAAAUAAUAUAUGUGUCCAUGGGUUUAUGCUUAUCUCCCAUGCAAGAAAUGGGGAUGUAUUUCGAACACCACGACACUGUGGCUCUCCGGCAAACGUCGACGUACUUGCUUUUGUAAUUCUAGUAAAUCCAAAAAUCGUCCGAAACUCAUGAAAUUUGCAUGCUAUCAUGGAGCGGCAUCAACAUGCCAUGGUAAAAAUUUUGUCCCAUUUGGGGCAGGUUUGGGUAUAAGCUUCUCAUAAACCAGAGCUUCUCACAACAAGUGUGAUGGUUUCGGUAGGGAACGUUUCACCUUUCUGGAUGAAACGAUAUCCAUUGCCUCUUCUCGAUUUCAAUUUUUUUCCUAGUGUCAACAUAGAACAACAGGAAUGUUGUGUCAAUUUAUGGAAUUUUUGGGGUUCGCUUGGACAUUUUUAUACAUUAACUGAGUUUUCUAUGCAUUCAUGUGCAUAAUUCAAAUUUGAACUACAUGCACAUGCUCUAAUGCAUAUAAAUUAGUUAAAAAUUCAAAUAUGUGUCCUUGGUUGCAUGCUUAGGCCCCAUGCAAGAAAUGAGAAUGAAUGUCAAACACCCUGCCACCGUCACUCGGCCACAAACAUUGAGAUACCUGGUUUUUAAAUUCAAGUAAAUCCAAAGCUCGUCUGAAAUUCAUGAAACUUGGCAUGCUAUCAUGGAGCGGCAUCAACAUGUCGUGGUAAAUUUUUUGUCCCAUUUGGGGCAGGUUUGGGGAUAUGCUUCUCACAAAUCAGAGCUUCUCACAACAAGCCUGAUCGUUUCGGUAGGGAAUGUUUCACCUUUCUGGAUGAAACGAUAUCCGUUGCCUCUUCUCGAUUUCAAUUCUUUUCCUAGUAUCAAAAUAGAACAACAGGAGUGUUGUGUUAAUUUUUCGGAUUUUUCGGGGUUCGCUUGGACAUUUGUUGUAACACCCUCGAUGCGGCUAUAUCUCCCACGUGUCGAAGCACGACUUAGAGGCAUAACCACAUUGAAAGCAGUGUCGCAAGUGAGGUAAUCUUCACACAACCCAUGUAAUACAUAAGGGACAGAGAUACAUAGUUGGCUUACAAUCGCCACUUCACACAAUUACAUGAAUAAAGCAUUACAACAUCCAAAUACAAUCAAGUCCGACUACGGAACCAAAAUAAAAGAAGAACCCCAAAUGCGACAAGGUCCCCGAUCGACCCCAACUGGGCUCCACUACUGAUCAACUAGAACGAAACAACACAAAGGACAAGAUCUUCAUCGAGCUCCUCCUUGAGCUUGGUUGCGUCAUCUGCACGGUUCAACGGCACCUGCAAGCUGGUUUUGGAAGUAUCUGUGAGCCACGGGGACUCAGCAAUCUCGCACCCUCAUGAUCAAGACUAUUUAAGCUUAUGGGUAAGAUAAAGGUAUGAGGUGGAGCUGCAGCAAGCGACUAGCAUAUAUGGUGGCUAACAUACGCAAAAGAGAGCGAGAAGAGAAGGCAAAGCACGGUCGAGAAACUAUGAUCAAGAAGUGAUCCUAGAACAACCUACGUCAAGCAUAACUCCAACACCGUGUUCACUUCCCGGACCCCGCCGAGAAGAGACCAUCACGGUUACACACGCGGUUGAUGCAUUUUAAUUAAGGUCAACUUCAUGUUUUCUACAACCGGACGUUAACAAAUUCCCAUCUGCCCAUAACCGCGGGCACGGCUUUCGAAAGUUCAAAUCCCUGCAGGGGUGUCCCAACUUAGCCCAUGACAAGCUCUCACGGUCAACGAAGGAUAUUCCUUCUAGCGGGAAGACCCGAUCAGACUCGGAAUCCCGGUUACAAGACAUUUCGACAAGGUAAAACUAAACCAGCAACACCGCCCGAAUGUGCCGACAAAUCCCGAUAGGAGCUGCACAUAUCUCGUUCUCAGGGCACACUCAGAUGAGACUAGCUACGAGUAAAACCAAACCUCAAGUUGCCCCGAGGUGGCCCCGCAGGCAGCUUAGUUUGGACCAACACUCAGAGGAGCACUGGCCCGGGGGGGGGGGGUUAAAAUAAAGAUGACCCUUGGGCACGCGACCCCCAAGGGAAAAGAAAAGGCUAGGUGGCGAAUGGUAAAACCAAUGUUGGGCAUUGAUGGAAGAGUUUUAUUCAAGGCGAACUGUCAAGGGGUUCCCAUUAUUACCCAACCGCGUAAGGAACGCAAAAUCCGGGAACAUAACACCGAUAUGACGGAAACUAGGGCGGCAAGAGUGGAACAAAACACCAGGCAUAAGGCCGAGCCUUCCACCCUUUACCAAGUAUAUAGAUGCAUUAAUUAAAUAAGAUAUAUAGUGAUAUCCCAACAAGUAAACAUGUUCCAACAAGGAACAACAUCUCCAUGAUCCAACAAGGAACAAACUUCAAUCUUCACCUGCAACUAACAACGUUAUAAAAGGGGCUGAGCAAAGCGGUAACAUAGCCAAACAACGGUUUGCUAGGACGAGGUGGGUUAGAGGCUCGGUUUUAACAAUAUGGGAGGCAUGAUAAACAAGUGGUAGGUAUCGCAGCAUAGGCAUAGCAAAAGAGCGAGCAACUAGCAAGCAAAGAUAGAAGUGAUUUCGAGGGUAUGGUCAUCUUGCCUGAAAUCCCACAAGGAAGAAGUACGAGUCCAUGAAGAAGAUAUACGGAGUAUACGAAUGGGUCCUCACAAACGUGACGUUACCGGAACCAACCCGAAGAAGCAAACACCAGAAAGAAGCACACAACAUAGUAAACAACCAACACAUGAACAUGGUAUGAUAUGCGGGAUGCGGUAUGUGAUGCAUAUGAAAGAUUUGCAAGGGAAUGAAUGAACCUGGCCUCAACAUGGAAAUCCAAGUGUUCCACUGGAAAGGUAAGGUGAUUUCGGUUGAAAUCGAUAUAAAGAUCACCGGAAUCGGAGGCACAGUUUGGAAAUGACAAGCAAAACAAAUAUGGCACCGGUCUGUGAUAAACAACAAGUAGCCAUCUAAAUGCAACAAGUUAAACAUGCUACAACACCCAAACAUGGCAACAAAAUACAUGGCAGGGAUCCAUUCAUGAAGCUUAACAAAAGAUGAACACUGAGCUACGGCCAAUUCAUCAAUUAACAGGUUCAAACAAGCAUGGCAAAAGUGCAAUUGGUAAACAGAUUUCAGACUUAGUGAAAUUAACACUUGUCUGGAAUUUCAUAUCAGAUAGCACAAUUUGGAGCAAGAAAACUAUAUGCUACAGGAACUUAACAUGGCAAAGUAAGGCAUGGCAUGGAGCUACUCAAAGAGCUUAACAAAAGUCCCUUAGUGACCUUGAGCCAAAAGGGAUCAGAAAAUACAAUUGCAAGCAUGUGAACAUGGCAAAAAACAUAAUCAGGUCACAGACUUAGUGAAAAACUGGAGCAUGCAAAUCAGAUAUCAAGUAGGCAUGUUUACGAGCUCGACGCACUCACUACAGAGCAUGUCAUGACAAUAUAAGCAUACACCCAUCAAUAAUACACAUUAUACAAGCUAUAAAUGGCAAGAACAACAACAUAGCAUGCACGGAUCAACAACAACAUCCUCAGCAAAAUUGCUAACAAAUAAACAAUCUGCCAGGAAUUACGAAAUAGCAAAAGUAUAGCUUGAUUGACUCAAGCUAGGGUGCUCCAUAAUUGCAAACAAAAACAUGGAUGGAUAGAGAACCACAAGAUUAACAAAUCAUCCUUACUGAUCAUCCUCAAAAGAGGUACGGAUCACUAGGAAACAACAUGAACAUAUGGCAUAUUGAUAAAAACAGAUCAAGGACUUAGUAAAAUUCUAAGUCCCUGAAAUCAGCAUUAACGAAUGCACCACUUUGCAAGAUUGUGAUAGUCACCACACACAUCACAAAAAUACAUGGAUAGCACCUCUGGAAAGAUGGCAAAGCAUCUAACAAAACUCAUGUAGAGCUCAGGGGCAUAUCAUGCACAUAUUAAUCAUGGCAAAAAUGACAAAUAGCUAUUUGGUGCAGCAGAUCUAACAAUUAACUCAAAUAGCACUCUUCCAACAGCAUUUCGGGCAUCAAGAUGAGCUCAAAUGAAAAUGAUGCAAUGAGAUGAAAUGAUGUACUCUCUGAGGCGAACAUUUUGAUAUGCUACACACGCAAAACGGAGCUACGGAUGCAAAGUUACGACAUGAAGAACAUGGCCAUUUGAAACUGGAAAUCUCGAGGACUUGGUGAAAUAUAGACCUCUCCCGGAUCUAGGGUUGGCACGGAAUCCGAGGCGCAGAUGGAGUUUGCCGGAGCACGACCGGAGACAGCGACGACGGUGGCUGGAAGACGCGGGAUCUCGCCGGAGAUGGCGGAUCCGGGCCGGAUCUCGCCGGAUCCGACCGGAUCCCGGCGCGGGGCGGCGUAGGGAGGACGGCGGCGACCGUGGCGCGGGGUAGGCGCUGGCGGAGUACGAGGCGGCGGCGCACUCCGGCGAGGUCGUCGCCGGGCGGCGCACGGCGGCCGGCACUGAAGGCGAGCGGCGACGCGGGGCUCGGGUGCCCGCGGGUGGCGGCGGCGGCGUCCCGGGCCGGGAGGGCCCGAUCCGGGCCCCGGCGGCGGCGGAAGCGCGGCGACACUUGGCGCGAGGCCAUUGGCGCGGACGGCGGCGGCGGGUUUGUCCGGCCGGGUCCGGACAUGUCCGGCGCGGCGCGAGGGAAAUUUAGGGUUAGAGGAAGGGGAAGACCCGGGAUUUUUCGUGGGGGAUCUUUAUAUAGGGGUAGAAGGAGCUAGGAGAGUCCAAAUGAGGUGCGGUUUUCGGCCACGCGAUCGUGAUCGAACGACCGAGAUGAUGGAGGAGGUUUAGGUGGGUUUUGGGCCACUUUGGAAGGGUGUUGGGCUGCAACACACACGAGGCCUUUUCGGUCCCUCGGUUAACCGUUGGAGUAUCAAACGAAGUCUAAAUGGCACGAAACUUGACAGGCGGUCUACCGGUAGUAAACCAAGGCCGCUUGGCAAGUCUCGGUCCAAUCCGGAAAUGUUUAACCCCCACACACGAAAUGAAGGAAGAAAGGACCACCGGAGGAGAUAGGAGCGCCGGAAUGCAAAACGGACAACGGGGAAAAUGCUCGGAUGCAUGAGAUGAACAUGUAUGCAAAUGAAAUGCACAUGAUGACAUGAUAUGCAAUGCAUGACACGCAAGCAAUGACAAGGCAACAACAACAAAUAACUGGAGGACACCUGGCACAUCGGUCUCGGGGCGUUACAUUUGUAUACAUUAAUUGAGUUUUCUAUGCAUUCAUGUGCAUAAUUCAAAUUUGAACUAUAGGCACAUGCUCUAAUGCAUAUAAAUUGGUUGAAAAUUCAAAUCUGUGUCCUUGGUUGCAUGCUUAGGUCCCAUGCAAGAAAUGAGAAUGAAUGUCAAACACCCUGUCACCGUCACUCGGCCGCAAACAUUGAGAUACCUGGUUUCUAAAUUCUAGUAAAUUGAAAACUCGUCUGAAAUUCAUGAAACUUGGCAUGCUAUCAUGGAGCGGCAUCAACAUGCCGUGGUAAAAUUAUUGACCCAUUUGGGGCAGGUUUGGGGAUAUGCUUCUCACAAACCAGAGCUUCUCACAACGAGCCCGAUGGUUUCGGUAGGGAACGUCCCACCUUUGGGCACAAAACGAUAUCCAUUGCCUCUUAUUGCUUUCAAAAAAUUUCUCAUGUCAACAUAGAACAACAAGAGUGUUGUGUCAAUUUUUGGGAUUUUUGGGGGUUCGUUUGGACAUUUUUAUGCAUUAAUUGAGUUUUCAAUGCAUUUAUGUGCAUAAUUCAAAUUUGAACUACAUGCACAUGCUCUAAUGCAUAUAAAUUGGUUGAAAAUUCAAAUCCGUGUCCUUGGUUGCAUGCUUAGGCCCCAUGCAAGAAAUGGGAAUGAAUGUCAAACACCCUGCCACCGUCACUCGUCCGUAAACAUUGAGAUACCUGGUUUUUAAAUUCUAGUAAAUCCAAAACUCGUCUGAAAUUCAUGAAACUUGGCAUGCUAUCAUGGAGCGGCAUCAACAUGAUGUGGUAAAGUUUUUGUCCCAUUUGGGGCAGGUUUGGGUAUAUGCUUCCCACAAACUAGAGCUUCUCACAACAAGCAUGAUGGUUCUGGUAGGGAACGUCCCACCUUUGGGGACGAAACGAUGUCCAUUGCCUCUUAUUGCUUUCAAAAAAUUUCUCGUGUCAACAUAGAACAACAGGAGUGUUGUGUCAAUUUUUGGGAUUUUUGGUAUUCGUUUGGACAUUUUUAUGCAUUAAUUGAGUUUUCAAUGCAUUUAUGUGCAUAAUUCAAAUUUGAACUACAUGCACAUGCUCCAGUGCAUAUAAAUUGGUUAAAAAUCAAAUAUUUGUCCUUGGGUGCAUGCUUAGGUCCCAUGCAAGAAAUGGGAAUGACUUUCAAACACCAGGGCAUUGUUGAUUGCUGGCAAAACGUUGAGAUACUUUGUUUUUAAAUUUUAGGAAAUCCAAAACUCAUCUGAAAUUCAUGAAACUUGGCAUGCUAUCAUGAAAUGCCACCUGACAUGCUAUGGUAUUUUUCGUGUCCAUUUUGAGAGAAGGCGAAAUAGAAUAACAGCCAACAAAGGCAUUUUGAAAAAAUAGCUGCCACUUUAAUAUCUCAAACGUUUGUAUAAUUCAAACCGUGUGUGUUCUGUUAAUCAUUCACGUGACGCCACGUGUCCUAGUUUUAAUGGCUAUAGGUUUUAAUGGCUCUUGAUCGCAAACGUUUUAGAUAGAACACCCGUCUGCAAAGUGAGAACAAGAUUUGUGCAUCUCUUCAACGCAAACGGUUCUUUUGGAUGACCCGUGUGCAACCACUUACAAACAAUUUGGUAAGAUUUGCAUAUGUCAUAUUGGGUAUGUUGCCAUUUGUCAAACUGGAAAGAAUGACAUUUGUUGAUCUAGUAACACUGCCAUUUGUCAACCUUGUAACAGUGCAAUUUGUCAAAAUAUGAAGCUAAAAAUCACUAGCAGUAUCUAAUUUUUGCAACUAAAAUUCAGUAAUUAAUCAUAGAUGUGAUACGUCUCCAACGUAUCUAUAAUUUUUGAUUGCUCCAUGCUAUAUUAUCUACUAUUUUGGACAUUAUUGGGCUUUAUUAUCCACUUUUAUAUUAUUUUUGGGACUAACUUAUUAACCGGAGGCCCAACCCAGAAUUACUGUUUUUUUUGCCUAUUUUAGGGUUUCGAAGAAAAGGAAUAUCAAACGGAGUCCAAACGGAAUGAAACCUUCGGGAACGUGAUUUUCUCACCGAAUACAACUCAGGAGACUUGGACCCUACGUCAAGGCACGUAACAGGAGGCCACGAGGUAGGGGGGCACGCCCUACCCUACCAGGCGCGCCCCCACCCUCGUGGUCCCCUGUUGCUCCACCGACGUACUUCUUCCUCCUAUAUAUACCCACGUACCCCCAAACAAUCAGAUAUGGAGCCAAAACCCUAAUUCUAACGCCGUAACUUUCAGUAUCCACGAGAUCCCAUCUUCGGGCCUGUUCCGGAGCUCCGCCGGAGGGGGCAUCGAUCACGGAGGGCUUCUACAUCAACAACAUAGCCUCUCCGAUGAAGUGUGAGUAGUUUACUUCAGACCUACGGGUCCAUAGUUAGUAGCUAGAUGGCUUCUUCUCUCUUUUUGGAUCUCAAUACAAUAUUCUCCCCCUCUCUUGUGGAGAUCUAUUCGAUGUAAUCUUCUUUUUGCGGUGUGUUUGUUGAGAACGAUGAAUUGUGGGUUUAUGAUCAAGUCUAUCUAUGAAUAAUAUUUGAAUCUUCUCUGAAUUCUUUUAUGUAUGACUGGUUAUCUUUGCAAGUCUCUUCGAAAUAUCAGUUUGGUUUGGCCUACUAGAUUGAUUUUUCUUGCAAUGGGAGAAGUGCUUAGCUUUGGGUUCAAUCUUGCUGUGUCCUUUCCUAGUGACAGUAAGGGCAGCAAGGCACAUAUUGUAUUGUUGCCAUCGAGGAUAACAAGAUGGGGUUUUCUUCAUAUUGCAUGAGUCUAUCCCUCUACAUCAUGUCAUCUUGCUUAAGGCGUUACUCUGUUUUAACUUAAUACUCUAGAUGCAUGCUGGAUAGCGGUCGAUGAGUGGAGUAAUAGUAGUAGAUGCAGGCAGGAGUCGGUCUACUUGUCUCGGUCGUGAUGCCUAUAUACAUGAUCAUACCUAGAUAUUCUCAUAACUAUGCUCAAUUCUGUCAAUUGCUCAACAGUAAUUUGUUCACCCACCGUAGAAUACUCAUGCUCUCGAGAGAAGCCACUAGUGAAACCUAUGGCCCCCGGGUCUAUCUUUAUCAUAUCAAUCUCCUACUACUUAGUUAUUUACUUUUCUAUUUACUUUGCUUUUAUUUUACUUUGCAUCUUUAUCAUAAAAAUACCAAAAAUAUUAUCUUAUCAUAUCUAUCAGUUCUCACUCUCGUAAGUGGCCCUAUAGGGAUUGACAACCCCUAUUUGUGUUGGUUGCGAGGAUUUAUUUGUUUUGUGCAGGUACGAGGGACUCGCGUGUAGCUUCCUACUGGAUUGAUACCUUGGUUCUCAAAAACUGAGGGAAAUACUUACGCUACUUUGCUGCAUCAUCCCUUCCUCUUCGGGGAAAACCAACGCAGUGCUAAAAGAGGUAGCAAGAAGGAUUUCCGGCGCCGUUGCCGGGGAGGUCUACGCAAAAGUCAACAUACCAAGUACCCAUCACAUACCCUUAUCUCCCGCAUUACAUUAUUUGCUAUUUGCCUCUCAUUUUCCUCUCCCCCCAAUUCACCCUUGCCAUUUUAUUCGCCCUCUCUCUCUCUAUCCUCCCUCUCUUUCUCUAUUUGCCCCUUUUUGUCCGCUUGCUUUUUGUUUGCUUGUGUGUUAGUUUGCUUGCUUGUCACGAUAGCUCAAGAUAAUACUAAAUUGUGUGACUUCACCAAUACCAACAACAAUGAUUUUAUUAGCACUCCGAUUGCUCCUCUUACCGAUGCUGAAUCUUGUGAAAUUAAUACUUCUUUGCUGAAUCUUGUCAUGAAAGAUCCGUUCUCCAGCCUUCCUAGUAAAGAUGCCGCUACCCAUCUUAAUAGCUUCGUUGAUUUGUGUGACAUGCAAAAGAAGAAAGAUGUGGAUAAUGAUAUUGUUAAAUUGAAGUUAUUUCCUUUUUGUCUUAGAGAUCAUGCUAAAGCUUGGUUUUCGUCUUUGCCUAAAAAUAGUAUUGAUUCAUGGAACAAGUGCAAAGAUGCUUUUAUCUCUAAGUAUUUUCCUCCCGCUAAGAUCAUCUCUCUUAGAAACCAUAUUAUGAACUUUAAGCAACUUGAUCAUGAACAUGUCGCACAAGCUUGGGAGACAAUGAAAUUAAUGACACGUAACUGCCCUACUCAUGGUUUAAAUUUGUGGAUGAUUGUUCAGAAUUUUUAUGCCCGAUUGAAUUUUGCUUCUAGAAAUCUUUUAGAUUUGGCUGCGGGAGGCACUUUUAUGGAAAUCACUUUAGGAGAAGCUACUAAACUCCUAGAUAAUAUUAUGGUUAAUUAUUCUCAAUGGCAUACUGAAAGAUCUACUAAUAAAAAGGUGCAUGCGAUAGAAGAAAUUAAUGUUUUGAGUGGAAAGAUGGAUGAACUUAUGAAAUUAUUUGCUAAUAAGAGUGUUUGUUCUGAUCCUAAUGAUAUGCCUUGUCUACUUUGAUUGAGAAUAAUAAUGAAUCUAUGGAUGUGAAUUUUGUUGGUAGGAACAAUUUUGGUAACAAUGCGUAUAGAGGAAAUUUCAACCCUAGGCCUUAUCCUAGUAAUUCCUCUAAUAAUUAUGGUAAUUCCUACAACAAUUCUUAUGUAAAUUACAAUAAGAUGCCCGCUGAUUUUGAAUCUAAUAUUAAAGAAUUUAUUACUUCGCAAAAGAAUUUUAAUGCUGUGAUUGAAAAAUUGCUUAAGAUUGAUGAUUUGGCUAGGAACGUUGAUAGAAUUGCUCUUGAUGUUGAUUCUUUGAAACUUAGUUCUAUUCCACCUAAGCAUUAUAUCAAUGAGUCUCUCAAAGCCAUGAGAAUUUCCAUUGGUGAGUGCAAAGAAAGAACCGCUAGGAUGCGUGCUAAGAAAGAUGCCUUUAUAAAAGCGUGUUCUUCUAGUUCCUAUGAAAAUAAUGAUGAAGAUUUAAAAGUUAUUGAUGUGUCCCCUAUUAAAUCUUUGUUUUGCAAUAUGAAUCUUGAUAAUGAUGGGACUGAAUAUGAUCCACCUUUACCUAGAAGGCAUUCCAAGAAUUCUGAAUCUUUUGAUCUUGAUGCUAAAUUUGAUAAAAGUGGGAUUGAAGAAAUUAAAACCCUAGAUGUUGCUAAACCAACUAUUAUGGAUUUCAAGGAAUUUAACUAUGAAAUUUCUCUUUGAUUGAUUGUAUUUCCUUGUUGCAACCCAUGCUAACUUCUCCUCAUGCUUAUAGUCAAAAUAAAGCGUUUACUAAACAUAUCGUUGAUGCCUUGAUGCAAUCUUAUGAAGAAAAACUUGAAUUGGAAGUUUCUAUCCCUAGAAAACUUUAUAAUGAGUGGGAACCAACUAUUAAAAUUAAAAUUAAAGAUCAUGAAUGCUAUGCUUUAUGUGAUUUGGGUGCUAGUGUUUCCACGAUUCCAAAGACUUUGUGUGAUUUGUUAGGUUUCCGUGAUUUUGAUGAUUGCUCUCUAAACUUGCACCUUGCGGAUUCCACCAUUAAGAAACCUAUGGGAAGAAUUAAUGAUGUUCUUAUUGUUGCAAAUAGGAAUUAUGUGCCCGUAGAUUUUAUCGUUCUUGACAUAGAUUGCAAUCCUUCAUGUCCUAUUAUUUUUGGUAGACCUUUCCUUAGAACGAUUGGUGCAAUUAUUGAUAUGAAGGAAGGAAAUAUUAGAUUCCAAUUUCCGUUAGGCAUGGAACACUUUCCUAGAAAGAAAAUUAAAUUACCUUAUGAAUCUAUUGUGAGAGCCACUUAUGGAUUGCCUACCAAAGAUGGCAAUACCUAGAUCUAUUCUUGCUUGUUAUGCCUAGCUAGGGGCGUUAAACGAUAGCGCUUGUUGGGAGGCAACCCAAUUUUAUUUUUGUUCCUUGCUUUUUGCUCCUGCUUAGUAAUAAAUAAAUUAUUUAGCCUCUGUUUUGGUUGUGUUUUUGGUGUUUAAUUAGUGUUUGUGUCAAGUAGAACCGUUGGGAAGACUUGGGGAAAGUCUUGUUGAACUUGCUGUAAAAAACAGAAACUUUAGCGCCCACGAGAACUGCUGUAAUUUUUAUUUGGAAAGUGCUAUUUAGUUAUUUUUUUGAAGAUGAUUAAUAGAUAAAUUCCUCAUGUCCAGAAAUUUAUUUUAGAUUUUUGGGGUUCCAGAUCUUGCGCUAGCUACAGAUUACUACAGACUGUUCUGUUUUUGACAGAUUCUGUUUUGCGUGUGUUGUUUGCUUAUUUUGAUGAAUCUAUGGCUAGUAAAUUAGUUUAUAAACCAUAAAGAAGUUGUAAUAAAGUAGGUAUAACACCCAUAUAAAUAAAUAAUGAGUUCAUUACAGUACCUUGAAGUGGUCUUUUGUUUUCUUUCGCUAACGGAGCUCACGAGUUUUCUACUUUAAGUUUUGUGUUGUGAAGUUUUCAAGUUUUGGGUAAAGAUUUGAUGGAUUAUGGAACAAGGAGUGGAAAGAGACUAAGCUUGGGGAUGCCCAUGGCACCCCCAAGAUAAUCUAAGGACACCUAAAAGCCAAAGCUUGGGGAUUCCCCGAAAGGCAUCCCCUCUUUCGUCUACUUCUAUCGGUAACUUUACUUGGAGCUAUAUUUUUAUUUACCACAUGAUAUGUGUUUUACUUGGAGCGUCUUGUAUGAUUUGAGCCUUUGCUUGUUAGUUUACCACAAUCAUCCUUGCUGUACACACCUUUUGAGAGAGCCAUACAUGAUUUGGAAUUUGUUAGAAAACUCUAUGUGCUUCGCUUAUAUCUUUUGUGUUAUAUAAUUUUGCUCUAGUGCUUCACUUAUAUCUUUUAGAGCAGGGUGGUGGAUUUGUUUUAUAGACACUAUUGAUCUCUCAUGCUUCACCUAGAUUAUUUUGAGAGUCUUAAUAGCAUGGUAAUUUGCUUAAAAUCCUAAUAUGCUUGGUAUGCAAGAUUAAUAAUAAAAAAUUCUCUUAUAAGUGUGUUGAAUACUAUGAUAAGUUUGAUACUUGAUAAUUGUUUUGAGACAUGGAGAUGGUGAUAUUAAAGUCAUGCUAGUUGAGUAGUUGUGAAUUUGAGAAAUACUUGUGUUGAAGCUUGUGAUUCCCGUAGCAUGCACGUAUGGUGAACCGUUAUGUGAUGAAGUCGGAGCAUGAUUUAUUUAUUGAUCGUCUUCCUUAUGAGUGGCGGUCGGGGACGAGCGAUGGUCUUUUCCUACCAAUCUAUCCCCAUAGGAGCAUGCGCGUAAUACUUUGCUUUGAUAUCUUGUUUUUGCAAUAAGUAUAUGAGUUCUUUAUGACUAAUUUUGAGUCCAUGGAUUAUACGCACUCUCACCCUUCCACCUUUGCUAGCCUCUCUAAUACCGCGCACCUUUCGCCGGUAUCAAACACCCACCAUAUACCUUCCUCAAAACAGCCACCAUACCUACCUAUUAUGGCAUUUCCAUAGCCAUUCCGAGAUAUAUUGCCAUGCAACUUUCCAUCGUUCCAUUUAUUAUGGCACACUCCAUCAUUUUCAUAUUGCUUAGCAUGAUCAUGUAGUUGACAUAGUAUUUGUGGCAAGGCCACCGUUCAUAAUUCUUUCAUACUUGCCACUCAUGCAUCAUUGCAUAUCCCGGUACACCGUCGGAGGCAUUCAUAUAGAGUCAUAUCUUGUUCUAAGUAUCGAGUUGUAAGCAAGUUGGAUGCACACCCACUUAGUUCUUUUUCAGCUUUCAUAUACUUAUAGCUCUAGUGCAUCCGUUGCAUGGCAAUCCCUACUCACUCACAUUGAUAUCUAUUGAUGGGCAUCUCCAUAGCCCAUUGAUACGCCUAGUUGAUGUGAGACUAUCUUCUCCCUUUUUGUCUUCUCACAACCACCACUCUAUUCCACCUAUAGUUCUAUAUCCAUGGCUCACGCUCAUGUAUUGCGUGAAGAUUGAAAAAGUUUUGAGAAUGUAAAAAGUAUGAAACAAUUGCUUGGCUUGUCAUUGGGGUUGUGCAUGAUUUAAAUAUUUUGUGUGGUGAAGAUAGAGCAUAGCUAGACUAUAUGAUUUUGUAGGGAUAACUUUCUUUAGCCAUGUUAUUUUGAGAAGACAUAAUUGCUUUGUUAGUAUGCUUGAAGUAUUAUCACUUUCUAUGUCAUUAUGAACUUUUCUCUUGAAUCUUUCGGAUCUGAAUAUUCAUACCACAAUUAAGAAGAAUUACAUUAAAAUUAUGCCAAAUAGCACUCCGCAUCAAAAAUUCUGUUUUUAUCAUUUACCUACUCGAGGACGAGCAGAAAUUAAGCUUGGGGAUGCUUGAUACGUCUCCAACGUAUCUAUAAUUUUUGAUUGCUCCAUGCUAUAUUAUCUACUGUUUUGGACAUUAUUGGGCUUUAUUAUCCACUUUUAUAUUAUUUUUGGGACUAACUUAUUAACCGGAGGCCCAGCCCAGAAUUGCUGUUUUUUGCCUAUUUUAGGGUUUCGAAGAAAAGGAAUAUCAAACGGAGUCCAAACGGAAUGAAACCUUCGGGAACGUGAUUUUCUCACCGAAUACAACUCAGGAGACUUGGACCCUACGUCAAGGCAUGUAACAGGAGGCCACGAGGUAGGGGGGCGCGCCCUACCCUACCAAGCGCGCCCCCACCCUCGUGGGCCCCCUGUUGCUCCACCGACGUACUUCUUCCUCCUAUAUAUACCCACGUACCCCCCAAACAAUCAGAUACGGAGCCAAAACCCUAAUUCCACCGCCGUAACUUUCUGUAUCCACGAGAUCCCAUCUUCGGGCCUGUUCCGGAGCUCCGCCAGAGGGGGCAUCGAUCACGGAGGGCUUCUACAUCAACAACAUAGCCUCUCCGAUGAAGUGUGAGUAGUUUACUUCAGACCUACGGGUCCAUAGUUAGUAGCUAGAUGGCUUCUUCUCUCUUUUUGGAUCUCAAUACAAUAUUCUCCCCCUCUCUUGUGAAGAUCUAUUCGAUGUAAUCUUCUUUUUGCGGUGUGUUUGUUGAGAUCGAUGAAUUGUGGGUUUAUGAUCAAGUCUAUCUAUGAAUAAUAUUUGAAUCUUCUCUGAAUUCUUUUAUGUAUGACUGGUUAUCUUUGCAAGUCUCUUCGAAAUAUCAGUUUGGUUUGGCCUACUAGAUUGAUCUUUCUUGCAAUGGGAGAAGUGCUUAGCUUUGGGUUCAAUCUUGCGGUGUCCUUUCCCGGUGACAGUAAGGGCAGCAAGGCACAUAUUGUAUUGUUGCCGUCGAGGAUAACAAGAUGGGGUUUUCUUCAUAUUGCAUGAGUCUAUCCCUCUACAUCAUGUCAUCUUGCUUAAGGCGUUACUCUAUUUUAAUUUAAUACUCUAGAUGCAUGCUGGAUAGCGGUCGAUGAGUGGAGUAAUAGUAGUAGAUGCAGGCAGGAGUCGGUCUACUUGUCUCGGACGUGAUGCCUAUAUACAUGAUCAUACCUAGAUAUUCUCAUAACUAUGCUCAAUUCUAUCAAUUGCUCAACAGUAAUUUGUUCACCCACCGUAGAAUACUCAUGCUCUCGAGAGAAGCCACUAGUGAAACUAUGGCCCCCGGGUCUAUCUUUAUCAUAUCAAUCUCCUACUACUUAGUUAUUUACUUUGCUAUUUACUUUGCUUUUAUUUUACUUUGCAUCUUUAUCAUAAAAAUACCAAAAAUAUUAUCUUAUCAUAUCUAUCAGUUCUCACUCUUGUAAGUGGCCCUAUAGGGAUUGACAACCCCUAUUUGCGUUGGUUGCAAGGAUUUAUUUGUUUUGUGCAGGUACGAGGGACUCGCGCGUAGCUUCCUACUGGAUUGAUACCUUGGUUCUCAAAAACUGAGGGAAAUACUUACGCUACUUUGCUACAUCAUCCCUUCCUCUUCGGGGAAAACCAAUGCAGUGCUAAAAGAGGUAGCAAUAUGGAGGCGAGGAGGCAUGUUCAGUCAGGCGUGCAGCGAGCUGUGCAGUACUAUUCAAUUUGACAGCGGGCGGCGCAGUUCCUGAUACAGAUUUAAUGCAGAUGAGGGAGAGCGUAGCAGUUCCCGAAAUGUUGAACGGCAAAUGAUGCAUCCUGCUUCAAUUAGCAUUGUGAAUGCAUGAGGGAAGUAAUGGGAGGGGGACUAAGAAAAGAGGCAGCACGAUGUGAAUGCAACACAGUUUGCACUCAUAUAAAGGCGCCCCUCCAUUCCAAUGCAUCUACCACAUCGUACGCACCUAAGCAUUUUCCUAAACACCUACACUAAGCCCAAAAGUGCUCACUCCAGACCCAUGGCGGUAAUGCGCGUGAGUGGCCAGCGGCUGUGCCAAAUGGUCCACGACGCCGGCCUGCGGCUUGGCACUGAGGAUCGUCUCCAGACGGUGUUGGCGACCAGCUGGUGGAUGGCCGCCGUCGACGCUAGAUAGGACUAGUAGUUGGACCAGAUGAUCGUUGCCACCACCAACAAGUUCACCAUCGUCAAGAAGCUUGCAGACGACAUCGUCGUACUCCUCCAGCCCGCGCGGCUGAGCUCCUCAUUGCGUGCCACCCUAAUCGGCCUCGAUGGUCGGAACCUCUUCCAAGCACGGGUGGCCCUGCGACUGCUUGCUGACGCCACGAAGAAUGUCCACCUGGAGGUCGCGCUCGCUGCAAGGCACCUCGCCCUGCAAGAAUUCGUCGACCUACACAUCCACUUGUACGAGCAAAUCGUGUACAUAUGUAUCUACAAGGCCAGUGAGGACGCUAUGACGUUGGCCUUCUUCAACCGGCUGGAAGCCUUGGGUGCCUUUACUGAGAAGCACCUUGACCUCGCCACAAAAUUCUUCGCUCCUUAGCUGCCGGUCAGUGGCCUGGCGCACUGAGUUGAGGAGGACGAGGUUGUACGUUGAUUGAUGCAUCUUUCUUCUUGCCUCCUGUAACCACCACUAUGAUCGCAUCAUCGUGGCCUUAAUUCUUAUUGUGCUAUUGCAUUCUUGUUCCAGUCAAUACAGACAUGUGCGAUCCCUUUGCUUAACUAUAUGCAUCACUGUAACUAGUACUCCAUCCGUCAAUUUAUAAGUUGUGCUACCGGUGUUUGGGGCCGGCGCACGACACAAUAAGCACACCCACGACGACACAUACAGAGAGGACAUCCAGUGGUUCCAAUGGCGAUCCCCGUGGCUCCAAUCGCGCUCCCAGUGGCCGAUGACGACAAUGGCAGGCAGUUCACCAUGCAUCACGUAGUGGACACCCAUGUGAGGGGGAAGGCCCUCUCGGUGGUGUACACGAACGAUCCGGUCUCGGUGGAGAGCUCCAUCCAAACUAUGGAGCAGUUCCUUGCCGAGGACAAGUACCAAGUGGUCGGCUUCGACCCGAGUACACCAUCGGUCAUGCCGGGCACAUUCACGGGGGACGUGGCAUUGACCAUUGGGCGACAAUAGUCGAUCAUCCGGGUGCCCGAUAAAGGAUGCAAAGAGGGAUCCAACAACAGCAAGGACCAGCUUCCCUACCGAUAGCUCAUCUAAUAGAACUCCCAAGUUAACUGUGUUGAGGCUUGAGUAGUCAUCAGAUGGGUGACCGGAUGGGAAGUGGCCUCGAUGUUAAAUUAACUGAUGUGAUGGGUCACUGUAAACAUUUAAUUGCGUUGAAUGUAUAUAGUGCUCCAUCAUAUUAGUUGAAUUAACCUUGAGGUCCUUGUUUUGUAAUUUUUGACAUUUUUUAUUUUUUGUACACAUGUUGAUUGGCUUGAAGAAGGUCUAUCUCGUUACUUUUUGAUAAUUUUUGUUUUUUAACACAUGUUAAUUGGCUUGAAUGAAGGUCUAUCCCGUUACUUUACGACAUGUUUCCAAAACAUGGACCUCGAGGUUAAUUCAACUAAUAGGAUGGAGCACUAUAUACAUUCAACGCAAUUAAAUGUUUUCCAAAAAAACUGAUAUGAUUUUUGUGAAACUUAUAAGUCAUGUAUGUCAAAUUAACCUCUAUGUACUUGUUCCUGAAUUAACCUCUGGGCCUUUUUGCUGCGUAUCACACACAUCUUGUUAAGUUGAACCAUUUAUGUUCUCUUCCCUAAUCGAAAACAGUUCAUUCGACUGAACCGUAUGUUGUAUAUCACACACACCUUGAUCUGCCUGACCAUUUCUGUUGCUUUCCCUAAUAGCAAACAAUUCAUAGGAGCGAAUUGUAUGCUGUAUAUCGCACACACAUUGAUAUGGCUGCCCGUUUCUGUUGUUCUAUCUAAUCGCAAACACUUCGUCUGGAUCAACCGUAUGCCCUGCUUCGCACACGCAACUAAAAUCUGAACCGUGUUUGAUGCAUCUGUCAUCGCAAACGUUUUGCACCUUUUUGACAGUUUUUACACCACCGUUUGCGAUUAUUGCAUCGCACACAGUUUUGUUGAAGGGUCUCUGAUCGUAGUGUCACAUUAGCAGUAUCUUGCAGUAGUGAUGCUACUAUCCUUUUACCACACUUGUGCUUCAAAGUAGCACCAUGAUCUUCAUGAUAGAGUCUCAUAUGUCAUCACUUUCAUAUACUAGUGGGAAUUUUUCAUUAUAGAACUUGGCUUGUACUCCCUCCGUUCCCAAAUAUAAGUCUUUUUAGAUAUUCCAACAAGUGACUACAUACGGAGCAAAAUGAAUAAAUCUACACUCUAAAAUAUGUCUACAUACAUACGUAUGUUGUAGUCCAUUUGAAAUGUCUAAAAGGACUUAUAUUUAGGAAUGGAGGGAGUAUAUUCCAAUGAUGGGCUUCCUCAAAUUUCCCUAGGUCUUCGUGAGCAAGCAAGUUGGAUGCACACCCAUUUAGUUUCCUUUUGGAGAUUUCAUAAACUUAUAGCACUAGUGCAUCCGUUGCAUGGCAAUCCCUACUCACUCACAUUGAUAUCUAUUGACGGGCAUCUCCAUAGCCCGUUGGUAUGCCUAGUUAAUGUGAGACUAUCUCCUUCUUUUUGUCUUCUCCACAACCAUCGUCUGUACCACCUAUAGUGCUAUGUCCAUGGCUCACGCUCAUGUAUUGCGUGAAAGUUGAAAAGGUUUGAGAACAUCAAAAGUAUGAAAUGAUUGUUUGGCUUGUCAUCGGGGUUGUGCAUGAUCUAAAUAUUUUGUGUGAUGAAGAUGGAGUAUAGCUAGACUAUAUGAUUUUGUAGAGAUAAGCUUUGUUUGGCCAUGUUAUUUUGAGAAGACAUAAUUAUCUUGUUAGUAUGCUUGAAGUAUUAUUGUUUUUAUGUCAAUAUUAAACUUUUGUUUUGAAUCAUACGGAUCUGAACAUUCAUGCCACAAUAAAAAAAUUACAUGGAAUGAUAUGUUAGGUAGCAUUCCACAUCAAAAAUUCUAUUUUUAUCAUUUACCUACUCGAGCACGAGCAGGAAUUAAGCUUGGGGAUGCUUGAUACGUCUCCAACGUAUCUAUAAUUUUUUAUUGUUCCAUGCUAUUAUAUUAUCUUUUCUAGAUGUUUUAUAUGCAUUAAUAUGUUAUUUUAUAUUAUUUUUGAGACUAACCUAUUAACCUAGACCGGAAUGCCAGUUUACGUUUUUCCUUGUUUUAGAGUUUCAUAGAAAAGGAAUACCAAACGGAGUCCAAAAACAGAAUGAAACUUUCGUGAUGAUUUUUCUUGGACCAGAAGACAUCCAGAGGACUUGGAGUACACGUCAGGGAAGCCACAAGGUGGCCACAAGGUCGGGAGGUGCGCCCAGGGGGGUAGGGCGCGCACCCCACCCUUGUGGGCCCCUCGUGACUCCACCGACCUAUUUUUUCCGCCUAUAUAUUUUCAAAUAUCCCAAAACCUAUGGAGAGAUCCAUGAAAACACUUUUGCACCACCGCAACCUUCUGUACCCGUGAGAUCCCAUUUAGGGGCCUUUUCCGGCGUCCUGCCAGAGGGGGAUUUGAUCACGGAGGGCUUCUACAUCAACACCAUUGCCUCUCCGAUGAAGCGUGAGUAGUUUACCACAGACUUAAGGGUCCAUAGCUAGUAGCUAGAUGGCUUCUUCUCUCUCUUUGAUUCUCAAUACCAUGUUCUCCCAGAUGUUCUUAGAGAUCUAUCGGAUGUAAUACUCUUUUGCGGUGUGUUUGCCGAGAUCCGAUGAAUUGUGGAUUUAUGAUCAGCUUAUCUAUGAAUAUUAUUUGAAUCUUCUCUGAAUUCUUAUAUGCAUGAUUUGAUAUCUUUGCAAGUCUCUUCGAACUAUCAAUUUGGUUUGGCCAACUAGAUUGGUUUUUCUUGCAAUGGGAGAAGUGCUUAGCUUUGGGUUCAAUCUUGCGGUGCUCGAUCCUAGUGACAGAAGGGGAACCGACAUGUAUUGUAUUGUAUUGUUGCCAUCAAGGAUAACAAGAUGGGGUUUUCAUCAAAUUUCUUGAGUCUAUCCUGCUACAUCGUGUCAUCUUACUUAAUGCGUUACUCUGUUCUAUGAACUUAAUACUCUAGAUGCAGGCAGGAGUCGAUUGAUGUGUGGAGUAAUAGUAGUAGAUGCAGGCAGGAGUCGGUCUACUUGAUACGGACGUGAUGCCUAUAUUCAUGAUCAUUGCCUUAGAUAUUGCUACGUCUUGAGCUUGCAUUGGUUUUCCUCGAAGAGGAAUGGAUGAUGCAGCAGAGCAGCGUAAGUAUUUCCCUCAGUUUUUGAGAACCAAGGUAUCAAUCCAGUAGGAGGCCACGCGCAAGUCCCUCGUACCUACACAACACAAAGAGCUCAACGCAACCAAUGCGAUUAGGGGUUGUCAAUCCCUUCACGAUCACUUACAGAAGUGAGAUCCGAUAGAUAAUAUUUUUGGUAUUUUUGAUAUAAAGAUGAAAAGUGAAAAGUAAAAGGCAAAGUAAAAACAAAACAAGAUUAAAGUGAUGGAGAUUGAUAUGAUGAGAAUAGACCCAGGGGCCAUAGGUUUCACUAGUGGCUUCUCUCAAGAGGAUAAGUUUUCUACGGUGGGUGAACAAAUUAAUGUUGAGCAAUUGACAGAAUUGAGCAUAGUUAUGAGAAUAUCUAGGCAUGAUCAUGUAUAUAGGCAUCACGUCCCUGACAAGUAGAUCGAAACGAUUCUGCAUCUACUACUAUUACUCCACUCAUCGACCGCUAUCCAGCAUGCAUCUAGAGUAUUAAGUUAAAACAGAGUAACGCUUUAAGCAAGAUGACAUGAUGUAGAGAGAUAAAUUCAUGCAAUUUGAAAUAAACCCCAUCUUGUUAUCCUCGAUGGCAACGAUACAAUACGUGUCUUGCUGCCCCUUCUGUCACUGGGAAAGAACACCGCAAGAUCGAACCCAAAGCUAAGCACUUCUCCCAUGGCAAGAACUACCAAUCUAGUUGGCCAAACCAAACGGAUAAUUCGAAGAGACUUGCAAAGAUAACCAAUCAUACAUAAAAGAAUUCAGAGAAGAUUCAAAUAUUGUUCAUAGAUAGACUUGAUCAUAAACCCACAAUUCAUCGGUCUCAACAAACACACCGCAAAAGAAGAAGAUUACAUCGAAUAGAUCUCCACAAGAGAGGGGGAGAACAUUGUAUUGAGAUCCAAAAAGAGAGAAGAAGCCAUCUAGCUACUAACUAUUGACCCGAAGGUCUGAGGUAAACUACUCACACUUCAUCGGAGGGGCUAUGAUGAUGUAGAAGCCCUCCGUGAUGACGGCCCUCUCCGGCGGAGCUCUGGAACAGGCCCCAAGAUGGGAUCUCGUGGAUACAGAAAGUUGCGGCGGUGGAAUUAGGUUUUUGGCUCCUGUUCUGAUCGUUUGGGGGUACGUGGGUAUACAUAGGAGGAAGGAGUACGUCUGUGGAGCACCGAGGGGCCCACGAGGCAGGGGGGCGCACCCUGUAGGGGGGGGCGCCCCUACCCUCGUGAACGCCUUCGGUACUUCUUGGAGUAGGGUCCAAGUCUCCUGGGUCUUAUCUGAGAAGAAAAUCAUGUUCCAAAAAGGAUUUUUCUGUUUGGACUCUGUUUGAUAUUCCGUUUCUUCGAAACACUGAAAUAGGCAAAAAAAACAGCAAUUCUGGGUUGGGCCUCCGGUUAAUAGGUUAGUCCCAAAAAUAAUAUAAAAGUGGAAAAUAAAGCCCAAUAUAGUUCAAAACAAUAGAUAAUAUAGCAUGGAGCAAUCAAAAAUUAUAGAUACGUUGGAGACAUAUCAGGCAUCCCCAAGCUUAAUUCCUGCUCGUCCUCGAGUAGGUAAAUGAUAAAAAGAGAAUUUUUGAUGCGGAGUGCUACUUGGCAUAAUUUCAAUGCAAAAUUUCUUAAUUGUGGUAUGGAUAUUCAGAUUAGAAAGAUUCAAGACAAAAGUUCAUAUUGACAUAAAGAAUAAUAAUACUUCAAGCAUACUAAUAAAGUAAUUAUGUCUUCUCAAAAUAACAUGGCCAAAGAAAGUUAUACCUACAAAAUCAUAUAGUCUGGCUAUGCUCUAUCUUCACCACACAAAGUAUUUAAAUUAUGCACAACCCCGAUGACAAGCCAAGCAAUUAUUUCAUACUCUAACUUUUUCAAAACUUUUUCAAUCUUCACGCAAUACAUGAGCGUGAGCCAUGGACAUAGCACUAUGUGGAAUAGAAGGGUGGUUGUGGAGAAGACAAAAAGAGGGGAAGAUAGUCUCACAUCAACUAGGCGUAUCAACGGGCUAUGGAGAUGCCCAUCAAUAGAUAUCAAUGUGAGUGAGUAGGGAUUUCCAUGCAACGGAUGCACUAGAGCUAUAAGUAUAUGAAAGCUCAUCAAAAGAAACUAAGUGGGUGUGCAUCCAACUCGCUUGCUCACAAAGACCUAGGGCAAUUUGAGGAAGCCCAUCAUUGGAAUAUACAAGCCAAGUUCUAUAAUGGAAAAUUCCCACUAGUAUAUGAAAGUGACAUAACGAGAGACUCUCUAUCAUGAAGAUCAUGGUGCUACUUUGAAGCACAAGCGUGGUAAAAGGAUAGUAACAUUGUCCCUUCUCUCUUUUUCUCUCUUUUUUAUUUGGGCCUUUUCUGUUUUUUUAUGGCCUCUUUUUUUCGUACGGAGUCUCAUCCCUACUUAUGGGGGAAUCAUAGUCUCCAUCAUCCUUUUCUCACUUGGGACAAUGCUCUAGAAAAUGAUGAUCAUCACACUUUUAUUUUUCUUACAACUCAACAAUUACAACUCGAUACUUAGAACAAAUAUGACUCUAUAUGAAUGCCUCCGGCGGUGUACCGGGAUAUGCAAUGAAUCAAGAGUGACAUGUAUGAAAGAAUUAUGAAUGGUGGCUUUUCCACAAAUACGAUGUCAAGUACAUGAUCAUGCUAGCAAUAUGACAAUGAUGGAGCGUGUCAUAAUAAACGGAACGGUGAAAAGUUGCAUGGCAAUAUAUCUCGGAAUGGCUAUGGAAAUGCCAUGAUAGGUAGGUAUGGUGGCUGUUUUGAGGAAGGUAUAUGGUGGGUGUAUGAUACCGGCGAAAGGUGUGCGGUAUUAGAGAGGCUAGCAAUGGUGGAAAGAUGGGAAAAAGUGCAUAUAAUCCAUGGACUCAACAUUAGUCAUAAAGAACUCAUAUACUUAUUGCAAAAAUCUAGAAGUUAUCAAAGCAAAGUAUUACGCGCAUGCUCCUAGGGGGAUAGAUUGGUAGGAAAAGACCAUCGCUCAUCCCUGACCGCCACUCAUAAGGAAGACAAUCAAUAAAUAAAUUAUGCUUCGACUUCAUCACAUAACGGUUCACCAUACGUGCAUGCUACGAGAAUCACAAACUUUAACACAAGUAUUCUUUAAAUUCACAACUACUAAACUAUCAUAACUCUAAUAUUAUCACCUCCAUAUCUCAAAACAAUUAUCAUGCUUCAAUCUUCUCUUAGUAUUCAACGCACUCAAAAGAAAAUUUCACAUACCUUGAACACCAAGGAUAUUUAUAUUAAGAAAAUUACCAUGCUAUUAAGACUCUUAAAAUAAUUUAAGUGAAGCAUGAGAGAUCAAUAGUUUCUUUAAAACAAACCACCACCGUGCUCUAAAAGAUCUAAGUGAAGCACAUAGAGCAAAAUUAUAACGCUCAAAAGAUAUAAGUGAAGUGCAAAGAGCAAAACUACAUAACUCAAAAGAUUUAAGUGAAGCACAUAGAGUAUUCUAUCAAAUUUCAAUUCAAGUAUGGCUCUCUCAAAAGGUGUGUACAGUAAGUAUGAUUGUAGCAUACUAACAAACAAAGACACAAAUAAUACAAGACGCUCCAAGCAAAACACAUAUCAUGUUGGUGAAUAAAAAUAUAGCUUCAAGUAAAUUACCGAUGGAAGUGGACGAAAGAGGGGAUGCCUUCCGGGGCAUCCCCAAGCUUUGACUUUUUGGUGUCCUUGGAUUAUCUUGGGGGUGCCAUGGGCAUCCCCAAGCUUCGUCUCUUGCCACUCCUUGUUCCGUAAUCCAUCAAAAGAACUCACCCAAAACUUGAAAACUUCACAACACAAAACUCAAUAGAAAUCUCGUGAGCUCCGUUAGAGAAAGAAAACAAAAGACCACUUCAAGGUACUGUAAUGAACUCAUUUUUUAUUUAUUUUGGUGUUAAACCUACUGUAUUCCAACUUCUCUAUGUAUUAUAAACUAUUUUACUAACCAUGAAUUCAUCAAAAUAAGCAAACAACACACGAAAAACAGAAUCUGUCGAAAACAGAACAGUCUGUAGUAAUCUGUAGCUAGCACAAGAUCUGGAACCCCAAAAAUUCUAAAAUAAAUUUCUGGACGUGAGGAAUUUAUCUAUUAAUCAUCUGCAAAAAGAACUAACUAAAUAGCACUCUUCAAAUAAAAAUGACAGCAGUUCUCAUGAGCGCUAAAGUUUCUGUUUUUUACAGCAAGUUCAACAAGACUUUCCUCAAGUCUUCCCAACGGUUCUACUUGGCACAAACACUAAUUAAGCACAAAAAAACAC